rnacentral:lncRNA from 1 species
UUUUUUUUCUUUUUGUUUGGAAUGGAAUGUUUUGUGGUGGUGCUGCUACGCUGCUGGAAGUUUCGAGACGAGGUCUAGAGAUCUGUGGCAUUCUGGUGAAAACCUGACGCUGACGAACAGGCUUUCUGCACAACAAGACCACUGGUUUUGUGUCGACCACAUAACCUCCCAGUAAUUCACAAGGCCCCAACUGGACGCGUAGUUCAGAGCAUCUCCAACAGAAGCCCCAAACGACGCGCGCGCGGUAAACGCAGCUUUUAGCGCGCGCGGCGCGGUUUGCCGCGCUCCAGCGGCCGCGGGAAACAAGCGCGCGUGGGAAUCGUCUGCGCGUGCGCGCGAAAAGGCGCCAGCUCGCGCGCAAGAUUUGGCGCGCCGCUUCGCGCGCGCCACGCGCCUUCUCCACACACAUCUCUUCCCCUCUUCCUUUCCCUCUCUGCCACGCGCCGCUCCAGCGCCCCGCCACCGACGCGCCGCCAUGCCGCCGCGCCGCCGAGGAGCGUCCGGCUACCGCGGCGUCCGCCUGCAGCCCAACGGCAGCUACACCGCGGAGAUACGCUCCGGCGAACUCCGGCUCGCCCUCGGCACGUACGGGACGGCGCGACAGGAUGAACUUCCAAGAUGUGUACACGCUCGAGCAAGCGCUCAACCUCGCUCCUCUGCCUCGUCUGAACACGGCGGAAGACCGUGCGGAGCACGCCGAGCGGCAACGUCGCCUCCUCGUCGCCCAGGAGGACGAGCGGGUCAUGGCGGACUGGCGCCAGCGCCACCCGGAGGACGUCGCCUACGAGCAAGCCUACUGGGCAAGGCGCCGCGAGGAGGACACGCAAAGGCGCCGCGCGUUGCGGUUGGACAGGCAUCGGCGGAAGGCGUUGGCGAAUGCGCAGUCCGACCUCGUUGCAGCAGGUGGGCGGUCGUUCUUCACACCGAACGAUGAGCGGUGGCUGGACAUCUGGCUAUCUACCUCGGACGACACCGCCGAGGAUGAUAGUGGUGAUGAUGAUAGCGACUUAGAGUAGUUUUUUUUUUGUUAAUGCGAUCUAUGUUUAUCGUUUGUCGUUUUUAUUUUAUGCAAUCUAUGUUUCGGAUGUAAAAUACCUUUGUAUCGUUUAAUCUAUGCAAUCUAUUUAGUUUUUUAAAAAAAUUCUACUUUCAAAAAUGCAUACAUUUCUAGUCGCACGCGCUGCAUUUUAGCGCGCUGCUGGAGCGGUGCGCGCGCUGCAUUUCAGCGCGAUGCUGGAGCGGGCGCAGCGCGCCGCGCCAAACCAGUCGAUGGGCGCGCGCUAAAGCUGUUUUUUGCGCGCGCCGCGUUCGGCGUCUGUUGGAGAUGCUCUCAGGUGGUGGUUUGGUUUUGGUUUUUCUGCAGUGGGACCAUCCGUUGGGGGUUAAGUUCCAGAUUUGACAUUGAUUUUGAUUUAUUUUUUCUCAAAUUUAUUUCAAUUUUUCGUUGAUGCUCAUUCCGUGGGACAUGUCGCUUUCAUCGACUAUGAGAUUAGAGCGUGUGCGCGUUCACGAAGAUGAGUGUAUGUGCGUGUAUAUGAGCAUAUGUGUCGUACAGUGUCUACAAAAACCAAUAGCCAAGGCCCCAUAUCAUGAGCACUUUCUUUUAUGCGGCCCUCUAAUUAUGGUUUCCCAAAAUUAUGAAAAAAGUGUGAUGUUUUAGCAAAUUUGGUCUUAAUUUUCGUGCUGAUGUUACAUAAUUUCAUUUGCUUGUAUGGACCACUUCAACACCUGCUAAGGCUGGUCAUAGUGAUGGUAUCUUAGCCGGUAUCAUGUACUCGGAAAUAGCAAACAUGCUAAUGUGGCAGGGAAUUAAAGAAAAGAGUGAGGGUUAGGCCCCUCCCAAUGCUCCACCUUAUAUAGGUGCUAAGGCUGCCAUGUAGGUAAAAAGUCUGAUGUGGCAAGGUAAUUAAGAGGAGAGAGAUGAUUGUAGUGACCCAGGAAGAAACGAUGCCAAGCGCGAGAACCUAGGAAAAACACUUAAAUUGGAAGGAUCCCACCAAUGCAUGAAGAAUUUUAGUUGCAAAAUCAUUAAAUGAAGGAUACUUAGCAUCAACAAGUUAAGCACCUAUGCAUUGGGGGCUUUAGUUGCUAAAGUUUUAAUGUGCUUAGCACCUCAUUUAAGCACCAAUGCAUUGGAACUAGCCUUAGGCCCUUCCCAGCGCUCCACCUUGUACAGGUGCUAAGGCUGCCAUGUAGGCAAGAAAUCUGAUGUGGCAAGGUAAUAAAGAAGAGAGAGGUGAGUUUGGUGACCCAAAAAGAACCAAUGCCAAGCACAUGAACCUAGGCAAAAGCAAUUAAAUGAAAAGAACCCACCAAUGCAUGUAAUAGUUUAGUUACUAAAGUAUUAAAUGAGGGAAGCUUAGCGCCAACAAGUGAAGCACCUAUUACUAAACAGUAAGACUCGGCUACCUACGAGCCUUCACAGCCAUUUGGAGCUCUCAGCCUUCGGAUCGCUGAUUCGUUGUAAUGUACGUACAUGAUUUCGUCGUUCACGUGCUAAGGCCGUUUCACGGGCCGCUGCUCCAUAGAAUGAGCCCCGGUUUCUCACGUUAACUGGGCCGUAGGUAAGCCCAGUCAAAAAUGCAAACCCAUUCACACGCUCAUAGGCCGGUCGUACAGGUUUUCUGCUCCCAUCGAUAUCCCGCUGCUCCUCUGUUCGUUCGUCCGCAAUGCGUCGCCGCCAUCCUCUGUCCCAUGGGUGAGCGCGUCUGCCUCCGCUGCUGCGCCAUCUGCCUCGGUGCCCUCCAAUCACCUGUAGUCUCUUCCGCAUGAUGGUCAUUGAUUUACUGCAAGGAUGCAAAAGAAUGAUGAGGUGACGACAGUGGCCUUCUUGAUGACCAAACUGAGACAACAGGGACUGGGAUGGGGUGCCACCGGUGGCACAAGCUAUGUGCUCAAGGCGUUGGCACAUUGCCACGAAAUCCACAGGUACAGGUGCUCCUACGCUCUGUUUGGAUGUAGAUAUUCAAGGCCUUGGCAUUGAAUUCACUCCAAUGUCGAAUAUUCCAAGACUUUGAUAUUGAGCUUCAAUGCCAAUUCUAGUGUUUGGAUGUUUAUGUAUUUGACACUUGGAAUCUAAAGUGAGCAACAAUGUCAAUUCCUGUUUGGAUGGACAAAGUGUGGAAUUUCUCAGUUUCUUAACAUUCAUAAUUUAUCAACACACAUAUAAACAUGCAUCAGUUGGCUACUACUAUCUUGCACCGAUGUUGUUGCGUAUACUUUUGCACUUCCGUAGUUGCCUACUUGGUACACUCAUGGACUAAUGUUGCUGUCACGAGUAGAAGUAGCAAAUGGAGGGUAGCGGUGCUUGUCACGUGCUGGAUAUUACUAGCGCUGGUGCGCAAAUGGACUACAAGGUUCAGUCUGGGGACGCGACAUAUGCCUGCAGUUCAUGGACCAGCUUGUGGCGUCCUGGGCAAGCUGGCCGGCGCCAUUGGCCACACAUUAAGCAUGCUCGUCUAGACCAAAGGGUCCUCUCCUCCUUGCCAUCCGCACGAAGUGGCCGCACUCCCAUGCCAGGACUGUGACAACAUGCGGAGCUGAAUAGUCUGGCAUUCCGUCGAGCAGCUGUUGGGCACCGUAUUGCAGGCGUCUUCCACCUAAGCAAGUAAGCAACGGACAUGAACUGGACAGCAGGAGGUGACACGGCUAACCAUGGCGCACAGAUCGGGCAGCAGGAGCUCCCGCACCAUGCCGGAAUGGGAGACGCGCCGGGAGAGGGAUGCAAGGGAUGGCCGGAGUUGAAGUGGCGGUGGGGGAAGGGUGGGGGCGCAGCGGAACAAUGCGGAGAGGAGUAAAGUCGGCUAGCCAAUGAGGCGGGGGACGGACUGACCUGCGCCGCCGUAGAGCUCUGCCAGGGAUUAUCGUCUCUAGUCGUGUGUAUCAUCUGCCCAAGCGGUAAGCAAGUCAUGGAGGAGAGCGCGAGCCGAAUGUUGCCGAAAACCGAGCGUGUGUGCUGCGAAUUGGCGGAUAGACGCGGCAGUCUUGCGAAAACCAGUUCGAUAUUGUAACCGAAUUCCUUGCCUGAAUAUCUCGACCACCCAAACGGCGACAUUCAGGACAUGCAAAUGCCAAAUGCGAAUUCCACGCCCGAAUAUCUACAUCCAAACAAGGUGCUAGGGUUUGAUUGGUUGGAAGCGGGUCGAACUGCACAUUAUAUGUUCAUUCUUGUGCUGGCGUAUGAGGAGGCCGUCCUCAAGGCCGGGGGUGACGACAGGGCAUGGCAAACUGGUUUCCCAUGGCCCUCACCGACAUUCCGCGCAUGUGGCUGCUCCACCUGCCAACAGCUUCUUUGGCCUCCUGGGAGGAGCUGCGCGACCUCUUCCUCGCCCAUUACGCCGCGUCGGUGCCCUCGGUUGUCGCAACUCUCCUGGGCGGCUCGCAGGCGCCACCCUCGGGCCGCCACGUCAAGCCAUUCGUCCGCCAGAUUGGCGCUGCCCUUACGCGGCACGGGGCUCCUCCGGGCUGGGCGGCACCCAAGGUCGACCUGACCUUCAGCUCCGAUGAUCAACCCGUCAACACUGCCUGCUCGGGUGCGCUCCUGAUGCUUUGCACGCCCACCAUCUGCCAGGUGGCCGUCACCAGGACCCUCAUCGACGGCAGUGCCGGCCUUAAUGUGCUCUCAGUGGAUGCCUUCAGCCUCCUCCACGUGCCGCUGGAACGACUCCGGCCCAGCAAGCCCUUCUCGGGCGUCGGAGGCGGUUCAACCGGCUCCUUGGGGGCAGAUCCAUCUUCCGGUGACCUUCGGCACCCACGAAAACUUCCGCACGGAGUAGGUCGACUUCGACAUCGCCCGCUGUCGGUGUCAAAACCGGCUGAUCUCGGGUAGGGGGUCCCGAACUGUGUGUCUAGGCGGAUGGUAACAGGGGACAAGGGACGCGAUGUUUUUACCCAGGUUCGGGCCCUCCCGAUGGAGGUAAAACCCUACUCCGGCUUGAUUGAUAUUGAUGAUAUGGGUAGUACAAGAGUGGAUCUACCACGAGAUCAAGGAGGCUAAACCCUAGAAGCUAGCCUAUGGUAUGAUUGUUGUAAUGGUUGUUCUGUCCUACGGACUAAAGCCCUCCGGUUUAUAUAGACACCGGAGAGGGCUAGGGUUACACAGAGUCGGUUACAAUGGUAGAAGAUCUACAUAUCCGUAUCGCCAAGCUUGCCUUCCACGCCAAGGAAAGUCCCAUCCAGACACGGGACAAAGUCUUCAAUCUUGUAUCUUCAUAGUCUUGGAGUCCGGCUGACGGUGAUAGUCUGGCUGUCCGGACACCCCCUAGUCCAGGACUCCCUCAGUAGCUCCUGAACCAGGCUUCAAUGACGAUGAGUCCGGCGCGCAUAUUGUUCGGCAUUGCAAGGCGGGUUCCUCCUCCGAAUAAUUCAUAGAAGAUUGUGAACACCAGGAUAGUGUCCGGCUCUGCAAAAUAAAUUCCACAUUCCACCGUAGAGAGAAUAAUAUGUACACAAGUCCAAUCUGCUGACGUGUUUUGUGGCAUGACGUCACACCACCACCAAGCCUUUACUUGAAUCGUUUUUUAUUAUACCACCUCAGCGCGUUUAGCGAAGCGGUUUCCUUGGCACGUCUUGUCGAAGCAGAGAUCGUGUUCCCCUUAUUCCGGGAUUCUCAUCAAUACGGACGUGGGUAACCCAACCGCGCCAUUGAUGGUGGCACUUGGGAGAUAAGCGAGUUUUACUAGGUUGGUGGGGACGUAUAGUCUUCGUCUUCCCAUAUAUAAGAGGAUAAGGAUCCACCGUUUUUACCUACGCCUUCUUCCUCCUUUGCUUAUCCAUCUCUGCGCACUCGAGCUCCAGUGCCCAAGUCCGCGCAUCUUGUCUCGACCUUCUCCGACCAUGUCUGGAGCGGGAGGCAAAUGGCUAGCCUCCUCCGUGAUGGAGGAGCACAUCGAAAAACUGCGCAGCGCCGGAUACCUUUCCGGCGACAUCACGCAUCGGCUGCCCGACAAGGGGCAGCUCAUCCCCACCCUCAGGCCUCAUGAGAGGGUCGUAUUCCUUCCCCACUUCCUCCGCGGACUGGGCUUCCCGUUGCAUCCCUUUGUCCGGGGGCUCAUGUACUAUUACGGCCUGGAUUUCCAUGAUCUGGCGCCAAACUUCAUCCUCAACAUCUUGGCGUUUAUCGUCGUGUGCGAGGCCUUCCUCUGCAUCCCGCCCCACUUCGGCCUGUGGCUCAAGACCUUCAACGUCAAGCCGAAGGUGGUGAAGGGCACUCAAGCGGAGUGCGGAGGCGCCAUGUUGGGCAAGAUGUCCAACGUCAUCUGGCUCGAAGGGUCCUUCGUGGAGUCUGUCAAGGGGUGGCAAUCGGGGUGGUUCUACAUCACCGAGCCGCGCGACCCUAAGUGGGCGGCGGCCCCCGAUUUCAGAUCUGGUAUCCCCGUGCAGCUCACCUCCUGGAAAGAGAAGGACUUGCUAUGGGGUAGUUCGGAGGAGCUGACAGGACUCCAAGCCUGUAUCCAAAAGUUGGCGAACAAAAAGCUCAGGCUUGUCAAUGUGGUCCAAGUCAUGCUCAUCCGCCGGAUUCUCCCCUGCCAACAGCGGGCAUUUAAAUUGUGGGAGUUCAAUCCGGCACAGCACCAGGCAUUGAGCGGGCUCUUUGACACGACGUACGAAGGCGCCUGGAGGGUGCUGUUUAAGGGCGCCGAAGCUCCCGCAUCCGCUACUGAAGAUCGCGGAUUUCGCUCGCAGCGUCCAGCUGACGAGGUAAGUGAUUCUACCCCUUUACGGGACACUUGUUUUUAAUAGUUUGAUCCUACGCGGGUUUCAAUCUCCCUUCUCCUUUGACAGGACUGGAUGAAGAAGGCCGAGCAGAUCAUCUGCCCGGCUCCCAUGCCAGAAAACCCAGUAGAUGCCCGUCUAGUGGGGCUGCUGGUUCCGGCACCGCAUGUGGUGCCGGAGAAGAAGGCCAAGAAGGAGGCCACGGGUACUCGAAAGAGUUCCCGUUUUCAGGUGUCCGACGAUUCUGGGGCGGACUCCUCCCCCGAAGGCGAGGAGGAGGAAGAAGACCCUCUCCCAAAGGAAGGAGAGAGGAAGAGGAAGGCUUCCCCGACAGGGGAGGCCGAAAGGUCCAAGAGGGGAAGGACUAUUCCCCCGGACAGCUCCGCCAACACCAACGUUGGCGACGAAGAGUGGCCCUCAAGGGCCAGGCCUCCGGCAAGAUCGUAAGUAUCCGGAUUCCUGAAUGAUUUAUAAUUUCUCUUUUGUGUCACAUAGUGUCCUUCUAAUGCCGCACACUACCUUCAGUCCGGCCGAUGAUGAUCUCCCCGCUUCAUCGAGCGGGUCGUUGGCUCCGUCGGAUGUAGAUUCCAUCCCGACUGCCUCCACCCCUCGCGACACUGAGGACGCCGAGGUGGGAUCCCGGGAAGGGACCCAUCAGGAGGAGGCUCUGGAGGCGCCACAAGGCAGCCUCUCGGACUUUGCGCCGGAACCUGCAAUGGUUUCGGAGUCCGGCAGGCGGCCCCUUCACAAGAAGGGCAAGAACGUGACGCCAGCGGCCCCCGUCCAACCGGAGGCGCCGGAGAACUUGUUGGAGGCGCUCAAAGGCGCUUCCAUCGAGGAAGAACACUGCACUAUUAUGAGUACGGUGAUUCAGAAGGUUCAGCUCGCCAAGAGCGGGCUGACCGAAGCCUGUAGUAGCCUUCUAACAGGCUUUGAGGUAAGAAGUUAAAAAUAUGCAAUGUAAUACCGCAUAGACAGUAGCCCCUGAUGCUCGGUUCGGUGUUCGGAAAGAAAAGCCGGACUGAGGAUCUAAAAAGAUAUACGCAGGGUUGCUAAAAAUUAUGUCAAUAUGGGUUUGUAGGCUGCGCUGCUGACCUCUGCCGCACUGACUGCGGAGGUCGGUGCUUUGAAGCAGGACCUCGAGCGGUCCGAGCAAGAGCUCGGCCGUGCCAAGAAGCAGCUCGAGGACAAAGAAGGUGAGUAACACCACUUUGAAUAGUUACCUUACAGAAAAGGAUUUAGGUUGCAAUAAAAAUAACAAGGAUAACGUGGGUACUGUAGGGGACACAAACGAGUUGGCAACCCUGAAGGAGGCUGUGUUCGCGGCCGAACGCAAUGCGGCCGCGGAACGGGCAGAGUGAGAGAAGCAGGAGGCGCGGGUGGCGGAGGUGCGGCAAGAGCUCCAGGCUCUCAUGGAAAAGCAUGAGAGUUUAGAGCGCGACUCAAAGACUCGAGAGUUCGAGCUUGCCUCGGCUCUCGAAAGUGCCAAAGCCGCCAAGGCCGAGGCCCAUAAGGCCCUACAGGAGGUUGAGGAUGUGAAGAAAAUAGCGGCGGGUAAGGCAUUUUUCAUGCAAAGCAAGCAUGUUAAUGUAAACUUCCUGAUACUUACCCGAAUUCGGAGCUCUCCAGGGGCGUUUGCAGAUCUGCCUCGCAGUGUGUCCGAUGCCGCCGCAUUCUACCGUGGCGAGGAGGGGAGCUCAACGGAGAAGGUCUUCUGGUCUCAGUACGCUGAGGCCGGCCAUCCGGUGCCCCCUAGCGACCAGCUGAAGCAGCUGGUUGAGCUCCACAAGGUAGCCAAGCAGGCCAUGAAGGGCCUCAUAGUCCGGCUGUGGCCUGGAGAGGCCAUGCCUGGGAGCUACUUCGGCCUCGUGCGGCGGCUGGUGGAUGCGUGCCCAUGGGUGGAGGUCAUCAAGCGCUCCGCCUGUAUUGAAGGUGCUUGUCGGGCCCUUGCCCGCGCAAAGGUGCACUGGGGCAGGCUGGAUGCGGAGAGGCUUAUCACUGAUGCGCCGCCAGCGGGCAAGGAGUACCGUACGCCCGAGAUGUACUAUAAGACUGUCCUGAAGGGUGCCCGCAAUAUUGCGGAUGAGUGCCCCAGAGAUGUAAUUGUUGAGUAAACUCGCUAUGUGUUAUCCUGCGCGCUGAAAACUUUGUUCAUAUGCGCUAAGUAACACUUGUUUAAUUUAAAAUAUUACCUUCUGUGCGGCCGUUUAUAAAAUCUGAGAGAUGGCAAGUCGUCGGCUUCAGCCCCUAUGCCACUAGUGCUGGGGUGUUCGGGAUAAACUUGAGCACUCUUGUUCCCAUUUUUGGGUCCAUCUAGGGAGGCGCUCAACACAACGAACAAGGCAACCAGACUUAUAAUGCUUGAACACUCUCACUUAGCCAUAGAAUUCUAUAAUUUUAAAUUUCGGCGAAGCCCCUAGUAUUCGGAAGACCGAGUUCAGCGCUCUAUCCACGCCUUGGCCGGACAUUAUCCGGUUCUUCGCUCGAAGCGGCAUAAGUCUUUAGGGACUCGAAAAGACCUCUCGAACAGCGACCAGUCUCUCGCCUUAUCAUGCCAGUCAGUUUUAGCUUUCUCCACUGAGGCGCUCGCCCAGCUCAACCGGGGCGCAAUCGCAGUGGUUCUCCCAGUGCUACCUUAGCCGACAGAACGGAACGUAAGGUACCAAAACAUGGGAGCCGGGCAAACCCAACUAUUGACCCAAGACAUGAUUCGGAGCCGAUUCAUAUAAUGCUAUAAGUUCGGGGUGCCGCACUUGUGAAAGUGUUCGGACUUAUCACACCAUAAUGCGGGGAACGUAAGCCCCUGGUGUAUUCAGCCGUACCAAAAUAUACGGGUGCAAAAAUGUCAUUAAUGAACAUAUAUGUAAAGUAAUGCAAUUAUAGGCAAAAAGUGCUGCAUUAUUUAUUCAAGGAAUUCUGCUAUGAGUGCGGAAUGAUACAAAUAGUGCGGUAAGCAAGGGAUUGGACUAAUUAAACAUGUCCCCCUCCAGGGGUGGGCUACGGACUGGUGUAUAUAAUCAAAUUUAAUGCUCGUAAUGGAGACCACCUGAGUGUUUGUCGCAGCCUUUUUCCGUCCCUGGCUGUUGCAUCGUGAGUUCGGUGGGUUCACCGCCGGACAGGGCCUCUGGUGAACGGAGUCCUGUGUAUAAAAAGAAGGAAAAUAAAAAUAAGAAGAGCGACACACUUGGGAGCCCCUGGUGUGGUCGAGCCGCACUCUGGGUCUGUUGUGGUCGUGCCCCUCCCCCUAUGCCCAUGGUAUCUCGAGAGCGUAAUGAUGUACGCGGAGAGUUGGUCUUGCAAUCAUGCGAGGGCUGGGGUUGGGGCCGCAUUGCUACACGUGCUCGGAAUGUGCCAGAUGGUCUUGAUUGAUGUUGCUCCGGGCGCGUUUGGCCGUGCCCGGUCGUUUAACGGCCGGACUCAAAAAUUGCCUUAGAAGGCUGCUCUAUACUUCUGCCGCGAGAGCCGCUGUAUGUUCCUCCGUUCGGAGGGAGCGUUCCGUAUUUCCGUUGACCGUGAUGACUUCACGAGGGCCUGGCAUCUUGAGCUUGAGGUAUGCAUAAUGCGGCACCGCAUUGAACUUUGCGAACGCGGUUCGUCUGAGCAGAGCGUGAUAGCCGCUGCGGAACGGAACUAUGUCGAAGAUUAACUCCUCGCUUCGGAAAUUAUCCGGGGAUCUGAAGACCACUUCCAGUGUGACUGAGCCUGUACAAUUGGCCUCAACACCUGGUAUGACGCCUUUGAAGGUCGUCUUUGUAGGUUUAAUCCUUGAGGGGUCUAUGCCCAUCUUGCGCACUGUAUCCUGAUAAAGCAGGUUCAGGCUACUGCCGCCGUCCAUCAGGACUCUCGUAAGGUGAAAUCCAUCAACGAUUGGGUCUAAAACCAAUGCGGCGAAUCCGCCAUGGCGGAUACUGGUUAGAUGGUCUCUUCGAUCGAAAGUGAUCGAACAAGAGGACCAUGGAUUGAACUUCGGGGCGACUGGCUCCAUCGCAUAUACGUCCCUUAGUGCACGCUUCCGCUCCCUCUUGGGUAUGUCGGUUGCGUAUAUCAUGUUUACCGUCCGCACUUGUGGGGGAAACCCUUCUGUCCUCUACUGUUCGGUGGCCGAGUCUCUUCCUCGUCAUUGCUGUGCAGCCCCUUGUCAUUGUUUUCGGCAAUUAACUUGCCUGCCUGCUUGAAUACCCAACAAUCUCUGUUGGUGUGGUUAGCUGGUUUUUCGGGGGUGCCAUGUAUCUGGCAAGAGCGGUCGAGUAUUCGGUCCAAAUUGGACGGACCCGGGGUGGUUCUUUUGAAUGGCUUCUUCCGCUGACCGGGUUUAGAGCCUCGGAAUCCGGCGUUGACUGCUGUAUCCUCAUUGUUAUCGCCGUUAAUGCGGUGUUUGUUUUUGCUUCGACGCGACCUGCCAUUGUGGUCCUUAGUAUCCGGACUGUCAGCAUUUUUACUGAGGUUGUUGUUGCGAGCUAGCCAGCUAUCCUCUCCCGCACAGAAGCGGGUCAUUAAUGAUGUGAGGGCUGCCAUAGAUUUCGGCUUUUCCUGUCCUAGGUGCUGGGCUAGCCACUCGUCGCGGAUGUUAUGUUUGAAGGCUGCGAGGGCCUCUCCAUCCGGACAGUCGAUGAUUUGAUUUUUCUUUGUUAAGAACCGUGUCCAGAAUUGCCUGGCCGAUUCGUCUGGCUGCUAGAUUAUGUGGCUUAGGUCAUCGGCGUCUAGUGGUCGCACAUAUGUGCCCUGGAAGUUGUCGAGGAAUGCGGCUUCCAGGUCCUCCCAACACCCAAUUGACUCUGCGGGCAGGCUAUUAAGCCAAUGCCGAGCUGGUCCUUUAAGCUUGAGCGGGAGAUAUUUGAUGGCGUGGAGAUCGUCACCGCAGGCCAUAUGGAUAUGAAGGAGAUAAUCUUUGAUCCAAACCGCGGGGUCUGUUAUGCCAUCGUAGGAUUCAAUGUUUACGGGUUUAAACCCUUCAGGGAUUUGAUGAUCCAUUACUUCGUCAGUGAAGCAUAGCGGGUGUGCGGCGCCUCUGUAUUGAGCAAUAUCACGACGUAGCUCAAGGGAGCGUUGUCUGCUGUGUUCGGCCCGGCCGGAGUUGUUGUAUCCGGCGUGACGGUAUUCGUCGUGGGUCGUGGGGUGCCCUCGUGAUCCAUAGAUAGAUCUGGAUUGUCUUGCCUUGUCCUCCAAUAUAUCUCGCAAGUCCGGCGCGUUCCCUCGUGGCUUCGUACUUUUGGAGCGAUGCCGGGGUACGGUCUUGGUGGAGGGCCUCGGUGCCUCUCUGUCCCGACCACGGGGUGGUCGGUCGGCCGUAUUAUGCGCUGGUGAUGAAGGUAUGUAUGCUUCCUCCUCUAAUCGGGGGAGCAACUUGCGUUUUGGGUAAAUUUUGGAGGGGCGUUCGAGUUCGUACUCUUCGACCGCGAGGACCUCGGUCCAUCUGUCGGCCAGCAGGUCUUGAUCAGCUUGAAGCUGCUGCUGCUUUUUCUUUAGGCUAUUUGUUGUGGCCAUUAGCCUGCGUUUGAAACGCUCUUGUUCGACGGGAUCCUCAGGCACGACGAAUUCGUCGUCGUCGAGGCUUGCCUCGUCUCCGGGGGGAGGUAUGUAAUUAUCAUCCUCGACCUCUUCAUCUGCCGCUCUCUCGUGAGGGCUUGCUUCUGCAUCCUCCUGUGCUGAAUCUUGCUGGAGGGGGUUAUCUUCGGCACUUUCUGGGGUGUUAUUAUCUCCUGUGCCGGAAUCUCCAUUCUUGCUGUGGCGGGAUUUAGAGCGGCGCCGCUGACGUCGGCGCUUGGGCUGUUUCUUUAAGGAAUCUGCCUUCGCUGCUUCUUUGCCAUCCCCAUCUUUCGGGGUGUCCACCAUAUAUAUGUCAUAUGAUGAGGUGGUCUUCCAGUGCCCUAUAGGCGCUGGUUCUUGAUCGUCUCCGGCAUCGUCGUCCAUACCGUCGAUGUCUUCGGAGUCGUUGUCUAGCAUGUCGGUUAGAUCAUCGACAGUGGCUACAAAGUGGGUGGUGGGUGGGGUUUGAACUUCUUCGUCGUCCGCAUCCCAACCAUCCUGGCCAUAGUCCGGCCAGGGCUCUCCGGAUAGCGAGAGAUGCUUUAGCAAAUUUAAGAUUUCGCCAAAGGGUGAGUGCUGAAAGACGUCCGCAGCGGUGAACUCCAUGAUCGGCGCCCAAUCAGAUUCGAUUGGCAGGGGAGCAGGAGGUUCGGAGUCCGGCAGGGAGUCCGGCACCUCGGAGUCACGAGCUUUAUAAGGGACGAGGUCAGUGUUCGGCUCCAUUGCCGUGGAAGUUGCAGCUCCCGAGGCGGUGUCCAGCCACCCGUCCUCGAUCUGCGCGAUCGGCUCCGAAUUAUGGGUCGGAGCGGAUUCGUGUGCGGCCUCCAGGGUACUGUCCGGCGGCAGAGCUAGAUCAUACCCAUCGUGACAGUGCGGCACGCUCGGCUGCGGCUCAGAUCCGUCGAAGAUCAAGUCCCCGCGGAUAUCCGCCGUGAAGUUUAGGCUUCCAAAUCUGACCUGACGGCCAGGGGCGUAGCUUUCGAUCUGCUCCAGAUGGCCAAGUGAAUUGGCCCGCAGUGCGAAGCCGCCGAAUACGAAGAUCUGUCCGGGGAGAAAAGUCUCACCCUGGACGGUGUUGUUGUUGAUUGAAGAAGCCAUCAAGCCUAUCGGUGACGACACAGAGGAACUCUCAAUGAAAGCACCAAUGUCGGUGUCAAAACCGGCUGAUCUCGGGUAGGGGGUCCCGAACUGUGCGUCUAGGCGGAUGGUAACAGGAGACAAGGGACGCGAUGUUUUUACCCAGGUUCGGGCCCUCUCGAUGGAGGUAAAACCCUACUCCUGCUUGAUUGAUAUUGAUGAUAUGGUUAGUACAAGAGUGGAUCUACCACGAGAUCAAGGAGGCUAAACCCUAGAAGCUAGCCUAUGGUAUGAUUGUUGUAAUGGUUGUUCUGUCCUACGGACUAAAGCCCUCCGGUUUAUGUAGACACCGGAGAGGGCUAGGGUUACACAGAGUCGGUUACAAUGGUAGGAGAUCUACAUAUCCGUAUCGCCAAGCUUGCCUUCCACGCCAAGGAAAGUCCCAUCCGGACACGGGACGAAGUCUUCAAUCUUGUAUCUUCAUAGUCUUGGACUCCGGCUGACGAUAAUAGUCCGGCUGUCCGGACACCCCCUAGUCCAGGACUCCCUCACCCGCAUCGGCCUCCCGUACAACGCCAUCCUCGGCUACCCUGCUUUGGCCCAGUUCAUGGCAGCGACUCACCCGGCCUACAACCUCAUGAAGAUGCCCGGGAGCAGCAGCGUCCUCACCGUAGUUGGAGAUACGAAAGAUGCUCUGCAGGUGCUCCAGCUCGCCUUCAAGACAGCAGUUGUGGCGCAGCUGUGACGCCCGGGUAAUUAAGCUACAGUAAUCCCCGCUAAUGAUGCCACGUCACCUCGGUUACUGUGGAUAAACUCGCGUUAGUUCGGAACCUAGUUCGAAUUUCAAAUUCAAAAUCGAGCAAACAAUAAAAGUUUUCAAAUAUUAAAAUUUAAAUGUCCUGAGUGAACCAAAUAAUACAUAGGUAAUUAUGGUGGAGAAACCAAACGUUGAUAAAAUGCUUAAAGGCCCUGAAACAAUUAAAACAAUAGUGAAAAACAAUUAAACAAAUGCCUAUUGAAUUUAUAAAAUGCUAACACUAUUUUAUUAUGGGUUAAGAAUUAAUCUUGUAUUAGUUUAUUGGUAGAUACAAAUUAGGCACUAGUGGUAAUUUUAUAAAACUGGAAAUAAAAGAAACUACAAAUAAAAAAGAGACAAGAAAACAGAAAACANNNNNNNNNNNNNNNNNNNNNNNNNNNNNNNNNNNNNNNNNNNNNNNNNNNNNNNNNNNNNNNNNNNNNNNNNNNNNNNNNNNNNNNNNNNNNNNNNNNNNNNNNNNNNNNNNNNNNNNNNNNNNNNNNNNNNNNNNNNNNNNNNNNNNNNNNNNNNNNNNNNNNNNNNNNNNNNNNNNNNNNNNNNNNNNNNNNNNNNNNNNNNNNNNNNNNNNNNNNNNNNNNNNNNNNNNNNNNNNNNNNNNNNNNNNNNNNNNNNNNNNNNNNNNNNNNNNNNNNNNNNNNNNNNNNNNNNNNNNNNNNNNNNNNNNNNNNNNNNNNNNNNNNNNNNNNNNNNNNNNNNNNNNNNNNNNNNNNNNNNNNNNNNNNNNNNNNNNNNNNNNNNNNNNNNNNNNNNNNNNNNNNNNNNNNNNNNNNNNNNNNNNNNNNNNNNNNNNNNNNNNNNNNNNNNNNNNNNNNNNNNNNNNNNNNNNNNNNNNNNNNNNNNNNNNNNNNNNNNNNNNNNNNNNNNNNNNNNNNNNNNNNNNNNNNNNNNNNNNNNNNNNNNNNNNNNNNNNNNNNNNNNNNNNNNNNNNNNNNNNNNNNNNNNNNNNNNNNNNNNNNNNNNNNNNNNNNNNNNNNNNNNNNNNNNNNNNNNNNNNNNNNNNNNNNNNNNNNNNNNNNNNNNNNNNNNNNNNNNNNNNNNNNNNNNNNNNNNNNNNNNNNNNNNNNNNNNNNNNNNNNNNNNNNNNNNNNNNNNNNNNNNNNNNNNNNNNNNNNNNNNNNNNNNNNNNNNNNNNNNNNNNNNNNNNNNNNNNNNNNNNNNNNNNNNNNNNNNNNNNNNNNNNNNNNNNNNNNNNNNNNNNNNNNNNNNNNNNNNNNNNNNNNNNNNNNNNNNNNNNNNNNNNNNNNNNNNNNNNNNNNNNNNNNNNNNNNNNNNNNNNNNNNNNNNNNNNNNNNNNNNNNNNNNNNNNNNNNNNNNNNNNNNNNNNNNNNNNNNNNNNNNNNNNNNNNNNNNNNNNNNNNNNNNNNNNNNNNNNNNNNNNNNNNNNNNNNNNNNNNNNNNGGCCCCGCACGCCCCGGGCCGCGCCUUCGCACGCACGGCCACGCAUGACCGCGUCCCCCUUCACGCACGGGCCUCGUCCCGCCUCCCGAGCCCGUGCGCCGUCCCCUGCACGCCGUCGCCGGCCCUCCACCGAAUCGCCUCCAACCCCGGCCUCCUCUCCCUCCGGCGACGCCGGCCCCUGAACCCUCCCCUCCUCUUUGUCCCUGGCCGCCGGCGCCCGCGCCCAGCUCUCCCUCGCCGCCUAGGCGGGCUACGCCCGCACAGCCGCCCGUCGACCCCAUCCCAGGUGGACUCGGGCGUGUGCCCGCACCUCCGCCCAGCAGCCCCCCUUCACCCCCUUCGGCACCCUAGCGGCUACCGCACCGACCGGCUCGGCCAUGGCCGCUGGCUGCGUGCGUGCCCCGCCCAGCCCGAACAUGUCCGACGCGCCAAAGGGUGUGGCCUGGACAUUGUCCGGCUAUGUGUGGUGCUGCCCUGGACGUGUCCGGCUGGACAUUGUCCAGUGGCCCAGUGCUACUGUCAAAAAAAAAGAAAGAAAAAAAAGGAAUAUCAAAAUAAAUAAUAAUAAUAGUAAUAAAAUUAAUUAAUUAAUUAAUCAAUUAAUUAAGGAAUUAAUUAAGUUAAUUAAUUAUAAUUAGGUUAACCUAAUCACUAAUUAAACUAAUUAACUGUUAGCUAAUUAAAACAGUGUAUGACAUGCGGGACCCACAUGUCAGGGUUGACUCAGUCAACCCCUGUUGACUGCUGACGUCAGCAUGACAUCAUGCUGACGUCAUAAAUACAUUUUUUUCGAAUUAAUUAAAUAAAUAAUUAAAUUCCAAAAUUGUUAAAAUCUUUUAAAAAUCAUAUCUUUUAAUCCGUAACUCGGAUUAAAAUAUUUUCAACAUGAAAGUUGCUCAGAACGACGAGACAAAUCCGGAUACGCGGUCCGUUCGUCCGCCACACACCCCUAACCUAUUGAACCCGCAACUUUCCCCCUCCGGCUCCUCUGCCCGAAAACACGAAACACCGGGAAUACUUUCCCGGGGGUUUUCCCCCCUUCACCGGUAUCACCUACUACCGCGUUAGGGCACACCGAACACCGCGUAUUGCCUUGAUAUAUUUUGUGGUGCUUUGUUUGCUCUGUAUUCAUUAUUUCUUCCCCCUCUUCUCUCCGGUAGACUACGAGACCGACGCUGCUGCUGACCAGUUCGACUACGGAGUUGACGACCCCUCUCUCUUGCCAGAGCAACCAGGCAAGCCCCCCCCCCUUGAUCACCAGAUAUCGCCUAUUCUCCUCUAUACUGCUUGCAUUAGAGUAGUGUAGCAUGUUACUACUUUCGUUAAUCCUAUUCUGAUGCAUAGCCUGACAUUGUCGCUACAUCUGUUGAUACCUUACCUGCAAUCCUAAAUGCUUAGUAUAGGAUGCUAGUUUAUCAUCAUUGGCCCUACAUUCUUGUCAGUCUGCCUUGCUAUACUAUCGGGCCGUGAUCACUUGGGAGGUGAUCACGGGUAUAUACUAUACAUACAUACAUACUAUACAGAUGGUGACUAAAGUCGGGUCAGCUCAUUGAGUACCCGCAAGUGAUUCUGACGAGGGGGCUGAAAGGACAGGUGGCUCCAUCCCGGUAGAGGUGGGCCUAGGUUCCCGACGGCCCCCGACUGUUACUUUGUGGCGGAGCGGCAGGGCAGGUUGAGACCACCUAGGAGACAGGUGGGCCUGGCCCUGUUCGGCGUUCGCGGAUACUUAACACACUUAACGAGAUCUUGGUAUUUGAUCUGAGUCGGCUACGAGCCUAUACGCACUAACCAUCUACGUGGGAGUAGUUAUGGGUAUCCCGACGUCGUGGUAUCAGCCGAAGCACUUCAGACGUCAGCGACGGAGCGGCGCGCGCCGGAUUGGAACGUAAGCCUGCUCUUGUAUUAAGGGGGCUAGUUCCGCUUUCGGCCGCGUACGCAACGUGCAGGUGUGCUAUGGGCGAUGGGCCCAGACCCCUGUGCGCUUAGGUUUAGACCGGCGUGCUGGCCUCUCUGUUGAGCCUAGGUGGGGCUGCGACGUGUUGAUCUUCCGCGGCCGGGCAUGACCCAGGAAAGUGUGUCCGGCCAAAUGGGAUCGAGCGUGUUGGGGAAUGUGGUGCACCCCUGCAGGGAAGUUAAUCUAUUCGAAUAGCCGUGAUCUUCGGUAACAGGACGACUUGGAGUUGUACCUUGACCUUAUGACAACUAGAACCGGAUACUUAAUAAAACACACCCUUCAAAGUUCCACAGACAACCCGGUGAUCGCUUUUCCGCAGGGCGACGAGGAGAGGAUUGCCGGGUAGGAUUAUGCUAUGCGAUGCUACUGGAGUUGCUACCUGGUUAUGCUACUUGGAGAUGCUACUUGGAGGACUUAAAUCUACUCUCAUCUACAUGCUGCAAGACGGAGGCUGCCAGAAGCGUAGUCUUCGACAGGAUUAGCUAUCCCCCUCUUAUUCUGGCAUUCUGAAGUUCAGUCCACCGAUAUGGCCCUUUACACAUAUACCCAUGCAUAUGUAGUGUAGUUCCUUGCUUGCGAGUACUUUGGAUGAGUACUCACGGUUGCUUUCUUCCCCCUUUUCCCCCUUUCCUUCUUCCUGGUUGUCGCAACCAGAUGCUGGAGUCCAGGAGCCAGGCGCCACCGUCGACGACGACCCCUACUACACCGGAGGUGCCUACUACUACGUGAUGCCCGCUGGCGACGACCUGGAGUAGUUAGGAGGAUCCCAGGCAGGAGGCCUGCGCCUCUUUCGAUCUGUAUCCCAGUUUGUGCUAGCCAUCUUAUGGCAACUUGUUUAACUUAUGUCUGUACUCCGAUAUUGUUGCUUCCGCUGACUCGUCUAUGAUCGAGCACUUGUAUUCGAGCCCUCGAGGCCCCUGGCUUGUAUUAUGAUGCUUGUAUGACUUAUUUUAUUUGUAGAGUUGUGUUGUGAUAUCUUCCCGUGAGUCCCUGAUCUUGAUCGUACACAUUUGCGUGCAUGAUUAGUGUACGAUUAAAUCGGGGGCGUCACAAGUUGGUAUCAGAGCCGACUGCCUGUAGGAAUCCCCCUUCCACAUUCCUUGGCCGAAGUCGAGUCUAGACAUUGAAAAACUUUUACUAACAUGGCUGUGUGGCCCAUGGGCCCACGUCGCCAUUGGGUGGUAUUAGGAUCUUUUACUCCUCGACCUUUACUCUGGGACGCUGAUCUCUCCUCUAUUCGGGUUAAAUGAAGUUUACUAAAUCUAACAAUAGGAUCUCGUUAUCACUUUCACCCGGAGAGCCCCUUGUUACUGAUGAUCGUCUGCUGCACCAGAAGACCCUGAAGAUACUCUCCGCUGUUAACCCGAGAACUUGUGUUCAUCGCGUUUGCAAUUCCCCUUCCACCGCAAACCCUUAUGGAUAACUACUUGCAGUUGUUAUUCUUACAUUCAUCCCCAGUUGGUUUUGUUAUUACAAGAUAACCUGAAAACUCGUCGUUGUUUCGAUAAUCCUUUGAGCUUACUGCCUUGCUGUUCUUUGUCACCUGAAUACCCCUACGGUUAAUUAUUGCAAUUACCGAGUAUCCGCUCAUCCCCAGUUGUUCAUGAGUUUCACAAAAGUCUUCGAAAUAUUAUUCGAUCUUCUGAAACUCCUUUGGAGCCUUUGGCUCUUGAAAUUCUUGCUUGCUCGCAUUAUGGUUAAUCCCAUAAGUCUCGUAGUCUUAUUGACAUUCCUUGUCAUUAUCAUUUUGGGUCUAUUGACUCAAUAUGUUUGCGAAUACACGCAAUCAUCAUUGAUCCUUAUAAAUUACUUUUCCGGCUGAGCUGCCAUUCUUUUAACUGGAAUUGGUUCUCGACCAAUCGAAUUGUCUUUGAUUGUACCCUAAGGCUAUUCAACUUAUCCACCCCUAAUCAGAGCAUUGCUUCUGAUCCCUUGAUUUGGGAAUCAUAAUUCCUUUGCAUUUGACAAUUGAGUUAGUCAGUUGUUUCUAUAAUCCGGUGCACUUGCAUUCCUUCUUCCUUUGAUAGAGUAUCGAUACCCACACCAACUCCGUUGUGGACCAUCGGUUCCUUUGUUGGAUUUUAUGUCCUUCAUAAUUAAUCACCUUGUGAGCUCUUUCCCCUGAUACAUAAUGCCUUUGGUACAUUGUAUCCUCUGCUUGACCAACAAUGCUCUACUUUCGAGCUUGUAUUAAUUACCCCGAAGUUUGUGGUAUAUGUUCGUAAGAUGCCCGGAUGGGUUGAACCUAUGCCUUCCUUAAUAUGUGUGAACUCGGAAGAUUUCACGAGUCAUACUCAUCUGGUAUUUCACCAGGUAAAAAUUUCAACGCUAUAACUUCAUCGAAAGCGAGAAGUGAAUGAAAGGGUAUGCAUUGGAGAAGUGGGAGUCGACCUUGAACUUUGUGUUCAUGCCCAUGGACGCGAUGUAUAUCCUAUCCUGGAAGCUUCUUGUAAUAAUAGCUACUUCCUUGAUAUAAUAUCCUUUGGUUUCGUUGAAUUGAUCCUUUGCAAUCAUGGUCCCGACCAUAUGUUCUUCCUUGAUCCAAUUCCCGGGCAAGUUUAAGCACUUGUCUUCUGUGGAUCAAUACCCCAGUCCAACCCUUACUUUGAUCUACCGUCGAGUAUUACCCCCCUGGUAUCUCGAGAUUAUCACAAAACUUCAUAACUUCUUAUGAGUUCUCCAUCGAGUGCUACCUUCCCACUGAUUCCAAUUUUUCACGAGCUCUGAGUUAUUGAACACUCAAAGACACCGAUAACUGAACCGAGUCCGCUCUUCGGUUCAACAACUCUCCAGUAAGCUUCUAUAAGUACGAGUUUGUACCCGAUCACGCCAUUCCUAGCCUGUUUGGCUAUAUCAUUGUCGUGCCGAUUCUAACUGUGCUACCUGGUCCUUAUUCUCGGAGCACCAAAUUUCGACGAUGAACUAACCUUACGUCGAUACUCAUCGUCAUAUCAUUUCGCCUUGAACAACAAGCUUGGUUUCGAGUUUGUGUCGUACCCUUGGUUCCAAUAACCUUUCACUUCAUCAUUACUUGACUUGAUGUCGUUACCGAUCGAUUACAUCUUCAUGAACUCUCGCGACAAAGGUGUCGUGAUCAUCAACAUUCUGAGCUCAUCCAGGAUAUCAAUUGAAUUCAAGAUGAGAAAUAACAUCCUUGCCCUCGAUGAAUUGUAUUAUCGUCGACCACUUUAUUGCCUUCCCACCAACACAAGCUUGUUCGUGUUUGGUGUUAUACCUUGAGUUCCUUGCUAUCCAGCAAUUGUUCUUCUUUACCUUGGAGUAUUACCAUCCUUUAUGUCAAGAAUGUUUUGAGAUUUGUUCCACCUCUUGAGAAUUCUUGGCAUAGAAAUACUUCUCACCAUCACCAUUCUUUAUUGGUCCCCGUGUUAAUUCCAACAAGUGAACGGUGUUGUUUGGAUUCUUUCCUUCUAGCAACCCUAUUUUUUUUUUAAGUUAAUGGUCGAAAGUUCAUUCUUAGACUAUUGACUAUUGAAUCACCAUUCUGACAUUGGUCGUGCAACCCAACCCAUAUUUCGGGCGCACCUUUCAACCAAUGUUUAAUUGUGUAUGUUUUCCCCGAGCAUACUUCCUUAUAUCAUUUGAUCUGACCAAUGUUAUCUCCUUGUUCACUUAAUUGUGGAGAUCCAUCUUUUGGAUACCUCGUUGAAUUAUCGUUGAGUCCAUCAGCCACCUCAUCGUCCUCUCCUUGGGUUAAUGAUGAACUCUUGUUAACGGAAAUCACUUCUUAGUUCAUUUCCCGAGAAUCUUACAGUGUCAUCCCGUCAAUUUGUGUUGCACCUUUCUUCUCGGGCAUCCUGAGCCUGAGGUAUCCUGACACCCAUCAUAUCUGAAUCUCCAUCAAAUAUGAUGGUUGGAACAUAUUAUCAAGAGUUAUAACAUUGGUCCUUUGAUGACCUGGUAACAUGAUGUCAUGCCUAGCACCCCCCCUGGGUGGAGGACCUAUUAUUGUAGUAUCCUUUUUAGCAAGUUUAGCCAUUCUUCCCUGAGGAAAUUGUAAGACUUAUCCUACCAGUUGUUCCUAAUGGAUCCUUCCUAUAUCUAAAGUCUGACCUUUUGCUCGAAGACCAUGUCAAUGCUAUCUCGAAGCAUGUCUAUGGUACUCCAAUUUUCAACAAGAACAUUUGAAGCCCAAUGAUAAAUGUUUCCUGCUCAAUUAUCCAAACACCGCUGUAUGGGUAAUAUCAUGAAAUUUCUCUCCCCUACCUAAGGAGUUUUCUACAUAAUAUCCUGUCAUGGAUAUCAUGCUCUGCUUGUCCUUGGGAAGGAUAUACCCCUGAUAUACGUGUUUAAGCACAUUUUCCUACCUGUUGUUUUGUUCAAACUUUCUUGUAAACUACUUAAUCGAGCAGUGGUAAUUCUCCUGCUUAUGUAAGCACCUCGUUGUACAACUCUGUCAGUAAGACCCUGUUGAAAUUGUCAAUAGCAUUCCGGUCACCACCGAUGGACGAGAACUUUGCCUAUUGGUCCGCCUCGUUCAACGAGCAGGAGAAUGAUUCUCUUCGUCCCUCGCCCUUGGUAUCGACGUUGUUGCCGACUUAAUCGACAGGCUACCCUCUGACAUGCCUUGCUUGCAUGAUCGCGCAAGACGUCUCCGCCCUUCCUACUUUUAACCCACAUGGUGGGCCCAUAACCCACAGUUCCACCAGGAUCGAAACCUGACUCUCCUGUACACCCUCAUGUUUCCAAAGUUAUUCCUCGCGCGUGGACUCGUAUGAAAUUCAUGAGCCACCUACCGAUGAGAUCAUCUAUUCUGGUAUCAGACGCAAUACUUACUCUCGCUACUCUGAACCCCUUUCUCACCCGCUUGGAGCCUAUUAUGGUACCUUCGUACCUUACUCUCGAGGUAUUUCAUAUGUUCAACUCGAGAGAUAAUCUUAUACUAAUUCAUGGGUUAGCCCCAGAUUGUUUCCCUUAAAAGCUUUAUGUCGUAGUGAGCUGGCCCUUAUCUUUCGUAAGUACGAUGGAGUUCCCGAAGAAAUGAUGACCAGUUUAUCAUGAUGCAUUGGAAUAAAGGAUUGAAGACAUCAACGAAAGGGAUUAACUUCUUCGAGAAGAUCCGUUAGAUUAUCGUAACCAGACCUUUCCCCCUUGCUCCCCUCUUAAAUCUCGGGACGAGAUUUCUUGUAGUGGAGGAGAAUUGUGACGCCCGGGUAAUUAAGCUACAGUAAUCCCCGCUAAUGAUGCCACGUCACCUCGGUUACUGUGGAUAAACUCGCGUUAGUUCGGAACCUAGUUCGAAUUUCAAAUUCAAAAUCGAGCAAACAAUAAAGUUUUCAAAUAUUAAAAUUUAAAUGUCCUGAGUGAACCAAAUAAUACAUAGGUAAUUAUGGUGGAGAAACCAAACGUUGAUAAAAUGCUUAAAGGCCCUGAAACAAUUAAAACAAUAGUGAAAAACAAUUAAACAAAUGCCUAUUGAAUUUAUAAAAUGCUAACACUAUUUUAUUAUGGGUUAAGAAUUAAUCUUGUAUUAGUUUAUUGGUAGAUACAAAUUAGGCACUAGUGGUAAUUUUAUAAAACUGGAAAUAAAAGAAACUACAAAUAAAAAAGAGACAAGAAAACAGAAAACAGGCCCCCCCCCUGCUGGGCCAACUGGCCCAGCUGGCCUCAGCCUCCCGAACGGGCUGGCCCGCCCCACGGCCCAGCCGGCCGCCCCCUGGCCUAUAGGCCACCCACACCCUAGAAACCCUAACCCCUCUCCCCCUCCCCACGACCGCACGCCCCUCUUCCCUUCCCCGAUCCAGAUCGGGAUCGGGGGGACGAACCUCCCCACGGCGCUCGGACCCCGUCGCCUCCAUCUCGCCCUCGCCGCCGCCUGGUGCCGCCUCGACCCCGCCCCNNNNNNNNNNNNNNNNNNNNNNNNNNNNNNNNNNNNNNNNNNNNNNNNNNNNNNNNNNNNNNNNNNNNNNNNNNNNNNNNNNNNNNNNNNNNNNNNNNNNNNNNNNNNNNNNNNNNNNNNNNNNNNNNNNNNNNNNNNNNNNNNNNNNNNNNNNNNNNNNNNNNNNNNNNNNNNNNNNNNNNNNNNNNNNNNNNNNNNNNNNNNNNNNNNNNNNNNNNNNNNNNNNNNNNNNNNNNNNNNNNNNNNNNNNNNNNNNNNNNNNNNNNNNNNNNNNNNNNNNNNNNNNNNNNNNNNNNNNNNNNNNNNNNNNNNNNNNNNNNNNNNNNNNNNNNNNNNNNNNNNNNNNNNNNNNNNNNNNNNNNNNNNNNNNNNNNNNNNNNNNNNNNNNNNNNNNNNNNNNNNNNNNNNNNNNNNNNNNNNNNNNNNNNNNNNNNNNNNNNNNNNNNNNNNNNNNNNNNNNNNNNNNNNNNNNNNNNNNNNNNNNNNNNNNNNNNNNNNNNNNNNNNNNNNNNNNNNNNNNNNNNNNNNNNNNNNNNNNNNNNNNNNNNNNNNNNNNNNNNNNNNNNNNNNNNNNNNNNNNNNNNNNNNNNNNNNNNNNNNNNNNNNNNNNNNNNNNNNNNNNNNNNNNNNNNNNNNNNNNNNNNNNNNNNNNNNNNNNNNNNNNNNNNNNNNNNNNNNNNNNNNNNNNNNNNNNNNNNNNNNNNNNNNNNNNNNNNNNNNNNNNNNNNNNNNNNNNNNNNNNNNNNNNNNNNNNNNNNNNNNNNNNNNNNNNNNNNNNNNNNNNNNNNNNNNNNNNNNNNNNNNNNNNNNNNNNNNNNNNNNNNNNNNNNNNNNNNNNNNNNNNNNNNNNNNNNNNNNNNNNNNNNNNNNNNNNNNNNNNNNNNNNNNNNNNNNNNNNNNNNNNNNNNNNNNNNNNNNNNNNNNNNNNNNNNNNNNNNNNNNNNNNNNNNNNNNNNNNNNNNNNNNNNNNNNNNNNNNNNNNNNNNNNNNNNNNNNNNNNNNNNNNNNNNNNNNNNNNNNNNNNNNNNNNNNNNNNNNNNNNNNNNNNNNNNNNNNNNNNNNNNNNNNNNNNNNNNNNNNNNNNNNNNNNNNNNNNNNNNNNNNNNNNNNNNNNNNNNNNNNNNNNNNNNNNNNNNNNNNNNNNNNNNNNNNNNNNNNNNNNNNNNNNNNNNNNNNNNNNNNNNNNNNNNNNNNNNNNNNNNNNNNNNNNNNNNNNNNNNNNNNNNNNNNNNNNNNNNNNNNNNNNNNNNNNNNNNNNNNNNNNNNNNNNNNNNNNNNNNNNNNNNNNNNNNNNNNNNNNNNNNNNNNNNNNNNNNNNNNNNNNNNNNNNNNNNNNNNNNNNNNNNNNNNNNNNNNNNNNNNNNNNNNNNNNNNNNNNNNNNNNNNNNNNNNNNNNNNNNNNNNNNNNNNNNNNNNNNNNNNNNNNNNNNNNNNNNNNNNNNNNNNNNNNNNNNNNNNNNNNNNNNNNNNNNNNNNNNNNNNNNNNNNNNNNNNNNNNNNNNNNNNNNNNNNNNNNNNNNNNNNNNNNNNNNNNNNNNNNNNNNNNNNNNNNNNNNNNNNNNNNNNNNNNNNNNNNNNNNNNNNNNNNNNNNNNNNNNNNNNNNNNNNNNNNNNNNNNNNNNNNNNNNNNNNNNNNNNNNNNNNNNNNNNNNNNNNNNNNNNNNNNNNNNNNNNNNNNNNNNNNNNNNNNNNNNNNNNNNNNNNNNNNNNNNNNNNNNNNNNNNNNNNNNNNNNNNNNNNNNNNNNNNNNNNNNNNNNNNNNNNNNNNNNNNNNNNNNNNNNNNNNNNNNNNNNNNNNNNNNNNNNNNNNNNNNNNNNNNNNNNNNNNNNNNNNNNNNNNNNNNNNNNNNNNNNNNNNNNNNNNNNNNNNNNNNNNNNNNNNNNNNNNNNNNNNNNNNNNNNNNNNNNNNNNNNNNNNNNNNNNNNNNNNNNNNNNNNNNNNNNNNNNNNNNNNNNNNNNNNNNNNNNNNNNNNNNNNNNNNNNNNNNNNNNNNNNNNNNNNNNNNNNNNNNNNNNNNNNNNNNNNNNNNNNNNNNNNNNNNNNNNNNNNNNNNNNNNNNNNNNNNNNNNNNNNNNNNNNNNNNNNNNNNNNNNNNNNNNNNNNNNNNNNNNNNNNNNNNNNNNNNNNNNNNNNNNNNNNNNNNNNNNNNNNNNNNNNNNNNNNAGUCUGCCUUGCUAUACUAUCGGGCCAUGAUCACUUGGGAGGUGAUCACGGGUAUAUACUAUACAUACAUACAUACUAUACAGAUGGUGACUAAAGUCGGGUCAGCUCAUUGAGUACCCGCAAGUGAUUCUGACGAGGGGGCUGAAAGGACAGGUGGCUCCAUCCCGGUAGAGGUGGGCCUGGGUUCCCGACGGCCCCCGACUGUUACUUUGUGGCGGAGCGGCAGGGCAGGUUGAGACCACCUAGGAGACAGGUGGGCCUGGCCCUGUUCGGCGUUCGCGGAUACUUAACACACUUAACGAGAUCUUGGUAUUUGAUCUGAGUCGGCUACGAGCCUAUACGCACUAACCAUCUACGUGGGAGUAGUUAUGGGUAUCCCGACGUCGUGGUAUCAGCCGAAGCACUUCAGACGUCAGCGACGGAGCGGCGCGCGCCGGAUUGGAACGUAAGCCUGCUCUUGUAUUAAGGGGGCUAGUUCCGCUUUUGGCCGCGUACGCAACGUGCAGGUGUGCUAUGGGCGAUGGGCCCAGACCCCUGUGCACUUAGGUUUAGACCGGCGUGCUGGCCUCUCUGUUGAGCCUAGGUGGGCCUGCGACGUGUUGAUCUUCCGCGGCCGGGCAUGACCCAGGAAAGUGUGUCCGGCCAAAUGGGAUCGAGCGUGUUGGGGAAUGUGGUGCACCCCUGCAGGGAAGUUAAUCUAUUCGAAUAGCCGUGAUCUUCGGUAACAAGACGACUACCUUGACCUUAUGACAACUAGAACCGGAUACUUAAUAAAACACACCCUUCAAAGUUCCACAGACAACCCGGUGAUCGCUUUUCCGCAGGGCGACGAGGAGAGGAUUGCCGGGUAGGAUUAUGCUAUGCGAUGCUACUAGAGUUGCUACCUGGUUAUGCUACUUGGGGAUGCUACUUGGAGGACUUAAAUCUACUCUCAUCUACAUGCUGCAAGACGGAGGCUGCCAGAAGCGUAGUCUUCGACAGGAUUAGCUAUCCCCCUCUUAUUCUGGCAUUCUGCAGUUCAGUCCACCAAUAUGGCCCUUUACACAUAUACCCAUGCAUAUGUAGUGUAGUUCCUUGCUUGCGAGUACUUUGGAUGAGUACUCACAGUUGCUUUCUUCCCCCUUUUUCCCCUUUCCUUCUUCCUGGUUGUCGCAACCAGAUGCUGGAGUCCAGGAGCCAGGUGCCACCGUCGACGACGACCCCUACUACACCGGAGGUGCCUACUACUACGUGAUGCCCGCUGGCGACGACCUGGAGUAGUUAGGAGGAUCCCAGGCAGGAGGCCUGCGCCUCUUUCGAUCUGUAUCCCAGUUUGUGCUAGCCAUCUUAUGGCAACUUGUUUAACUUAUGUCUGUACUCCGAUAUUGUUGCUUCCGCUGACUCGUCUAUGAUCGAGCACUUGUAUUCGAGCCCUCGAGGCCCCUGGCUUGUAUUAUGAUGCUUGUAUGACUUAUUUUAUUUGUAGAGUUGUGUUGUGAUAUCUUCCCGUGAGUCCCUGAUCUUGAUCGUACACAUUUGCGUGCAUGAUUAGUGUACGAUUAAAUCGGGGGCGUCACAGCAGCCCACCAGCACCGACACCCCCAAGGCCAAGGGGGUUGCGCCAACCAAGAAGAAGCAGCUGUUCACCCAGGACAAGGCGGAGACUAAGCAGGUACCAGUUGAUGAGGACGGAUCCUCCGGCUCCACCUUCACCAUAGACACCAAUAUCGACCCCAACCAGGAGGAGGCCCUGGUGAAAUUCCUGCGCGCGAACAAGGAGGUGUUCGCGUGGGAACCCAAGAAGCUAGCAGGGGUCCCAAGGCAAGUAAUCGAGCAUCACCUGAACAUGUACCCCAAUGUGCGCCCCGUGAAGCAGAAAGCAAGGCGGCAGUCCACCAAGAAGCAGGCCUUCAUCGUCCAAGAAACCCGCAAGCUGGAAGCUGCAGGUGUCAUUCGUGAGGUCCGCUACCCUGAAUGGCUGGAAAACCAUGUUGUUGUGCCGAAGAAGGGAGGUAAGGAGCGCAUGUGCGUCGACUUCACCAAUCUCAACAAGGCCUGCCCUCAGGAUCCGUUCCCGCUCCCCCGCAUCGACCAAAUUGUCGACUCCACCGCUGAGUGCGACCUGUUGUGCUUCCUGGAUGCCUUCUCGGGCUACCACCAAAUCAAGAUGGCAAUAGAAGACGUGGAGAAGACGGCCUUCCUGACCCCAUGCGGAGUGUACUACUACACCUGCAUGCCAUUCGGGUUGCAUAACAUGGGUGCAACCUUUCAGCGACUGAUGCAUAUCGCCUUGGGCCGGCAGCUCGGGAGAAACGCUGAGGCCUACGUCGACGACAUUGUGGUGAAGUCUUGCGAGGCGAAGACCCUGAUACAGGACCUGGAAGAAACCUUUGCGAGCCUUCAUGAAGUGGACCUGCGGCUCAACCCGGAGAAGUGCGUAUUUGGUGUUCCCUCUGGCAAGCUUCUGGGCUUCCUCGUGUCACACAGGGGAAUCGAGCCAACCCGAAGAAGGUCAAGGCAAUCGAAGACAUGAGUCCACCACAAACCCUCAGGGAAAUGCAGAAGCUCGCCGGACGCGUAACUGCGUUAGGGCACUUCAUCUCCAAGUUGGGGGAGCGAGCCCUGCCCUUCUUCAAGCUGAUGAAGAAGAAGGGCCCAUUCGAGUGGACACCAGAGGCCGACGAAGCGUUUCAAGAUCUCAAGAAGUACCUGACCAGCCCUCCGGUGAUGGUGGCACCACGCCCCCAGGAGCCCCUGGUGCUCUACCUCGCCACCACGCCCUACUCCGCCAGCGCUACGUUGGUGGCGGUUUGGGAGGAGCGCCAGGUCAAGGCUGCGUCACGACCGGCUGCGGCAGCGCAAGACCAGGAAGGCCUCACGAAGGCCACGACCUCGACAGAUGGAGACCAGCCUCGACAGGAACACGCCCCCAGGGCUGAGGGGACCUCACCAAGAAGCCAGGAGCCGGGGGCUCCAACAUCCCAGGAGGCGCUCAACUCUCCGGAGGGUGCGGGCUUUGUCGGCGUGCCCACCCUCGUCGAGCAUCCUGUGUAUUUCUUCAGCAUGGUGCUAAGGGAUGCAAGGGCAUGGUACCCCAUGCCCCAGAAGCUCUUGCUCGCGCUGUUGGUGGCCUCACGUAAGCUACGGCACUACUUCCAAGGUCACCCCAUCAAGGUCGUCUCAGCCUACCCAUUGGAGAGGGUGCUCAGGAGUCCCAACUCCGCUGGAAGGGUCGUUGAAUGGAACAUCGAGCUGCAAGCGUUUCAGUUGGAAUUCAGCACGACCAGAGUCGUCAAAGGAGCCGCACUUGCAGAUUUUGUGGAAGAGUGGACAGAGGCGCCAGGGCUCGAGGCAAGGGAAGAUCGGUCCCUUUCCCCAGGAAGCAAGGCACCAGACAGCUGGGUUAUGCACUUCGAUGGAGCAUUCUCGCGACAUGGCGUGGGGGCUAGCGCAGUGCUUAUAUCCCCCACUCGACAAGCUUUAUUACGCCGUACAACUCUAUUUCCAACAGGGCGAGAAGGUUUCCAACAAUAUAGCAGAAUACGAGGGUCUUAUAGCAGGCUUAAAGGUUGCGGCCGCACUGGGGGUGAAGCGCCUCAGCAUCAAGGGAGACUCACAGCUCCUCGUCAACUUCUCCAACAAAGUGUACGAGCCCAAGGACGAGCACAUGGAGGCAUAUCUUGCAGAGGUGCGCAAGAUGGAAAAGCAGUUUUUGGGGCUGGAGCUGCAGCAUGUGUCCUGUGGGACCAACCAAGAGGCUGAUGACAUCACCAAGAGGGCAUCAAGGCGGCUGCCUCAGGAGCCUAGCAUUUUCGAGGAACGACUCUUCAAACCCUCAGCAGCACCGUCGCUACCAAGCACAACGCAACCUCGAGAGGAACUCCCUCAACCGCCUGCCUCAGGAGCUCCGGCCUAUGGCCCGACCUUAGGAGCACACUUGCUCCUAGCGCUGGAUGAAGGAAAUAUGCCCUAGAGGCAAUAAUAAAGUUAUUAUUUAUUUCCUUAUUUCAUGAUAAAUGUCUAUUAUUCAUGCUAGAAUUGUAUUAACCGGAAACAUAAUACAUGUGUGAAUACAUAGACAAACAUAGUGUCACUAGUAUGCCUCUACUUGACUAGCUCGUUGAACAAAGAUGGUUAUGUUUCCUAGCCAUAGACAUGAGCUGUCAUUUGAUUAACGGGGUCACAUUAUUAGGAGAAUGAUGUGAUUGACUUGACCCAUUCCGUUAGCUUAGCACUUGAUCAUUUAGUAUGUUGCUAUUGCUUUCUUCAUGACUUAUACAUGUUCCUAUGACUAUGAGAUUAUGCAAGUCCCGUUUACCAGAGGAACACUUUGUGUGCUACCAAACGUCACAACGUAACUGGGUGAUUAUAAAGGUGCUCUAUAGGUGUCUCCGAAGGUACUUGUUGGGUUGGUGUAUUUCGAGAUUAGGAUUGGUCACUCCGAUUGUCGGAGAGGUAUCUCUGGGCCCACUCAGUAAUGCACAUCACUAUAAGCCUUGCAAGCAUUGUAACUAAUGAGUUAGUUGCGGGAUGAUGUAUUACAGAACGAGUAAAGAGACUUGCCGGUAACAAGAUUGAACUAGGUAUUGAGAUACCGACGAUCAAAUCUCGGGCAAGUAACAUACCGAUGACAAAGGGAACAACGUAUGUUGUUAUGCGGUUUGACCGAUAAAGAUCUUCGUAGAAUAUGUGGGAGCCAAUAUGAGCAUCCAGGUUACGCUAUUGGUUAUUGACCGGAGACGUGUCUCGGUCAUGUCUACGUUGUUCUCGAACCCGUAGGGUCCGCACGCUUAAAGUUUGAUGACGGUUAUAUUAUGAGUUUAUGUGUUUUGAUGUACCGAAGGUGGUUCAGAGUCCCGGAUGAGAUCGGGGACAUGACGAGGAGUCUCGAAAUGGUCGAGACGUAAAGAUCGAUAUAUUGGACGACUAUAUUCGGACAUCGGAAAGGUUCCGAGUGAUUCGGAUAUUUUUUGGAGUACCUAAGAGUUACAGGAAUUCGACGGGGAGUAUAUGGGCCUCAUUGGGCUUUAGGGAAAAGAGAGAGGGGAGGAUGCGCGCCCCCCAAUGCUUAGUCCUAAUUGGACUAGGGGGAGGGGCGGCGCCCCCUCCUUCCUUCUCUUCUCUUUUCCCUUUCCUUCUCUCCUACUCCUACUACUUGGAAGGGCUCCUAGUUCUACUAGGAAAGGGGGAAUCCUACUCCCGGUGGGAGUAGGACUCCCCUAGGGCGCGCCAUAGAGAGGGCCGGCCCUUCCCCUCCUCCACUCCUUUAUAUACGGGAAGGGGGGCACCCCAUGGAGACACAACAAUUGAUCAUUGAUCUCUUAGCCGUGUGCGGUGCCCCCCUCCACCAUAGUCCUCCUUGAUAAUAUCGUAGCAGUGCUUAGGCGAAGCCCUGCGAUGGUAGAACAUCAUCGUCGUCACCAUGCCCUCGUGCUGACGGAACUCUCCCUCGAACUCGGCUGGAUCGGAGUUCGAGGGACGUCAUUGAGCUGAAUGUGUGCAAGAACUCAGAGGUGCCGUGCUUUCGGUGCUUGAUCGGUCGGGCCGUGAAGACGUAUGACUACAUCAACCGCGUUGUGCUAAUGUUUCCGCUUUCGGUCUACGAAGGUACAUAGACACACUCUCCCCUCUCGUUGCUAUGCAUCACCAUGAUCUUGCAUGUGCGUAGGAAAUUUUUUGAAAUUACUACGUUCCCCAACACUGGAGCCUCAGGAGGGAUGCUGGACGGCGGAGCUCAAGGAUUACCUGAUGCAAGGGACUCUACCAGAGAAAGAGGAGGGCGCGGAACGCGUGGCCCGGCAGGCCACGGCCUACUGCAUCCAAGAUGGAGAGCUCUACCGGAAGCGGCCAAACGGUAUUUCCCCGCGUUGCAUCUCCAGGGAACAGGGGAAGGAGUUGCUGGCAGACAUUCACGGCGGAGACUGUGGGCACCACUCGUCAUCACGGACCCUCGUCGGCAAGGCGUUUCACCACGGGUUUUACUGGCCUACGGCACUCAACGACGCGAUCGAGCUGGUGAAGGCUUGUGAAGCCUAUCAAUUCCACGCCAAGCAGAUCCACCAGCCAGCACAGGGCCUGCAGACCAUUCCACUCUCGUGGCCAUUCGCAGUCUGGGGGCUGGAUAUCUUGGGCCCGUUUCCUCGGGCACCAGGGGGCUAUUGCUACUUCUACGUUGCUAUUGACAAGUUCACCAAGUGGGUGGAGGUGGAAGCCGUCCGCACCAUCCCGGCUGGCUCUGCAGUCAAGUUCAUCAAGGGCCUCGUGAGCCGGUUCUGGAUGCCUAAUCGCAUCAUCACCAACAACGGUUCGCAAUUCACCAGCAAUCUCUUCAAAACAUACUGUGCUAACCUUGGAACGCAGAUAUGCUACGCUUCGGUGACACACCCUCGGAGCAACGGCCAGGCAGAACGCGCCAACGCAAAGGUCCUGAAGGGCCUCAAAACAGGACCUUCAAGAAGAAGCUGGAGGCCUGUGGCAGGGGCUGGUACGACGAGCUCCAGUCCGUGCUAUGGUCCAUCCGCACUACCGCCACCAAGUCGACUGGCGAGACCCCGUUCUUCCUCGUCUACGGAGCAGAGGCGGUCCUCCCUCACGAGGUCAGGCGUCGCUCCGCGUGGGUCCUAGCGUUUGAUGAAGCGCAGCAGGACGCCAUGCGGGGGAUGGACCUCGUGCUGGGGGAGGAACACCAUCAGGAGGCUGCACUGCGAGCAGCAAGAUACCAGCAGGCGCUACGGCGGUACCACUGCCGCAAUAUUCGCCCCAAGACUCUCGAGGUAGGUGACCUCGUGCUCGGGUGGGUGCUCUCUAGGGAAGGGCUGCACAAGCUCUCGCCCAUGUGGGAGGGCCCGUUCAAGGUUGUUCAUGUUUCCAGACCUGGCGCCGCACGAUUGGAGACCCAGGAGGGGGUGCCCAUCCCGAACUCGUGGAACAUUCAACACCUCCGAAGGUUCUACCCUUGAAGUAAGGCCCCGUGCCUGUAAAGAAGGCCCGGUGCCUGUGAAGUAAGGCUCAGAGCCUGUAAAGAAGGCCCGGUGCUUGUGAAGAAGGGCCCAGUGCCUAUAAAGAAGGCCCGGUGCCUGUGAAGUUCGCCGCCCCAAGAAAGGCCCGGUGCUUGUGAAGAAGGCCCAGCGCCUGUGAAGCUCGCCGCCCGUGACACUCUCACGUAAUAAUGAGUUGGGGCUAUACACGCCCCGGAGUCUUCCGAGUGCCGCCCUUGGGCAUCGGGGGCUCCCGCCCACGCCCAGUGGCAACACUUAGCUCCGCGCUGGUGAGAAGACGUCGAAGACUAGACUAGGUGCCUGAUGCGGCUUUUCAUUUGCUUUCUGUAGUUGGCUUGUUCUCCCUCAUUUGAACUUUUAUUGGAGUUGCUUCUAGUGUUGUUUGCCGUCCCCUGCCCCUGUUCUCUGUCUCUGGCUUUCGCUCGGCCUGUUCUUCUUCUCGCUAGCCUCGCGAGGGGGCUACGCGGGCGCCCUCGUGUGCCCUUUCUCUCUUGAUCUCGUGAGGCUCCCUCACUCAUGUUCGCAGCGGGAGCCACCCUCCCAGUCCAUGCCCCACGGGCAUCGCAACGCGGAACGCAGGACCACGCGACAAAGGUUCGAAAGCUACUCUCCCGACUGAUUUUGCAGACCCUAACAUGCUUGGCAAGGCCCCAAGCAAGUACCCCGCGAGGCGGAAACCGCGGCAAACCCCCUAAGCUAAGUUGUUCCUACGCGCAACCACAUAGCCGCAACACCUCAACACAACAUGGGAAUAAUAGAAAUAGCAUGAUAAUUAAGGGCAAUAGUCUUGCACACCCCCACGGGGCUCCAUCCUUUGAUAUCUCUCUCAAUGCAGGAAAAGGAGGUAAACAAAAUAAAUGCGGAAUGCCCCGCAACAGCUCGCGAGGAGGGGUCCGCACCGCCCUCCCGAGCUCAAUCAGACUCCUCCUCGUGCUUCACCGGGGCGCGGCGAUGGGACGACCCGCUACCACCCUCGAAGUGGGCGUGGUGGCUGGUCGCGGCCACCGCUGGAGGAGCUGUCACCAGAGGAGGAGCCUGAUGACCCACAAGUCAAGGGGAUCGCAACAGCUUUCGAGGGUAAAGUAUUCAACCCAAAUUUAUUGAUUCUACACAAGGGGAGCCAAAGAAUAUUCUUGAGUAUUACCAGUUGAGUUGUCAAUUCAACCACACCUGGAUAACUUAGUAUCUGCAGCAAAGUAUUUAGUAGCAAAAGUGGUAUGAUAAUAAAGGUAACGGUAGCAAAAGUAAAGAUAAAUGUUUUUGGGUUUUUGUAGUAGUUGUAACAGUAGCAAUAGAAAAGUAAAUAAGCAAAGAAAAAUAUGUGAAAAGCUCGUAGGCAAUGGAUCAGUGAUGGAUAAUUAUGCCGGAUGCGAUUCCUCAUGCAAUAGUUAUAACAUAGGGUGAUAUAGAACUAGCUCUAGUUCAUCAAUCUAAUGUAGGCAUGUAUUCCGUAAAUAGUCACACGUGCUUAUGGAAAAGAACUUGCAUGACAUCUUUUGUCCUACCCUCCCGUUGCAGCGGGGUCCUUACGGAAACUAAGGGAUAUUAAGGCCUCCUUUUAAUAGAGAAUCGGAACAAAGCAUUAACACAUAGUGAAGGAAAUAUGCCCUAGAGGCAAUAAUAAAGUUAUUAUUUAUUUCAUUAUAUCAUGAUAAAUGUUUAUUAUUCAUGCUAGAAUUGUAUUAACCGGAAACAUAAUACAUGUGUGAAUACAUAGACAAACAUAGUGUCACUAGUAUGCCUCUACUUGACUAGCUCGUUUAUCAAAGAUGGUUAUGUUUCCUAGCCAUGGACAAAAGAGUUGUCAUUUGAUUAACGGGAUCACAUCAUUAGGAGAAUGAUGUGAUUGACUUGACCCAUUCCGUUAGCUUAGCACUUGAUCGUUUAGUAUGUUGCUAUUGCUUUCUUCAUGACUUAUACAUGUUCCUAUGACUAUGAGAUUAUGCAACUCCCGUUUACCGGAGGAACACUUUGUGUGCUACCAAACGUCAUAACAUAACUGGGUGAUUAUAAAGGAGCUCUACAGGUGUCUCCGAAGGUACAUGUUGGGUUGGCAUAUUUCGAGAUUAGGAUUUGUCACUCCGAUUGUCGGAGAGGUAUCUCUGGGCCCUCUCGCUAAUGCACAUCACUAUAAGCCUUGCAAGCAAUGUAACUAAUGUGUUAGUUACGGAAUGAUGCAUUACGUAACGAGUAAAGAGACUUGCCAGUAACGAGAUUGAACUAGGUAUUGGAUACCGACGAUCAAAUCUCGGGUAAGUAACAUACCGAUGACAAAGGGAACAACGUAUGUUGUUAUGCGGUUUGACCGAUAAAGAUCUUCAUAGAAUACGUGGGAGCCAAUAUGGGCAUCCAGGUCCCGCUAUUGGUUAUUGACCGGAAACGUGUCUCGGUCAUGUCUACAUAGUUCUCGAACCCGUAGGGUCCGCACGCUUAACGUUUCGUUGACGAUAUAGUAUUAUAUGAGUUAUGUAUGUUGGUAACCGAAUGUUGUUCGGAGUCCCGGAUGAGAUCAUGGACAUGACGAGGAACUCCAGAAUGGUCCGGAGAUAAAGUUUGAUAUAUGGGAUAAUAGUGUUUGAUCUCCGGAAGGGUUCCGAAAUUCACCGGAAGGGGUUCCGGAUGUUUCCCGAAAUGUUUGGGUACGAGAAUACGUUAUUUGGGCCAAAGGGGAAAGCCCACAAGGUUUUUGGAAAGCGCAAAAGGAAGUUUUGUGGAGUCCAGGGGCCAGACGCCAGGGUCCCUGGCGUCUGGGUCCAGACGCCGGGAACCCUGGCGUCUGGCCCUGGAGUCCGAGAAGGACUCUUGCCUUUCGGGUGAAACCGACUUUGUGGAGGCUUUAACUCCAAGUUUCGACCCCAAGGCUCAACAUAUAAAUAGAGGGGCAGGGCUAGCACUAAAGACACAUCAAGAAACACCAAGCCGUGUGCCGACAACCCUGUCCCCUCUAGUUUAUCCUCCGUCAUAGUUUCCGUAGUGCUUAGGCGAAGCCCUGCGGAGAUUGUUCUUCACCAACACCGUCACCACGCCGUCGUGCUGCCGGAACUCAUCUACUACUUCGCCUGUCUUGCUGGAUCGAGAAGGCGAGGACAUCAUCGAGCUGAACGUGUGCAGAACUCAGAGGUGCCGUGCAUUCGGUACUUGGAUCAGUCGGAUCGUGAAGACGUACGACUACAUCAACCGCGUUGAUAAACGCUUCCGCUUAGCGAUCUUCAAGGGUAUGAAGAUACACUCCCCUUCUCGUUGCUAUGCAUCACCAUGAUCUUGCGUGUGUGUAGGAAACUUUUUGAAAUUACUACGUUCCCCAACAGUGGUAUCAGAGCUAGGUUUUAUACGUUGAUGUUAUAUGCACGAGUAGAACCCAAGUGAGUUGUGGGCGAUACAAGUCAUACUGCUUACCAGCAUGUCAUACUUUGGUUCGGCGGUAUUGUUGGAUGAAGCGGCCCGGACCGACAUUACGCGUACGCUUACACGAGACUGGUUCUACCGACGUGCUUUGCACACAGGUGGCUGGCGGGUGUUUGUUUCUCCAACUUUAGUUGAACCGAGUGUGGCUACGCCCGGUCCUUGCGAAGGUUAAAACAGCACUAACUUGACGAACUAUCGUUGUGGUUUUGAUGCGUAGGUAAGAACGGUUCUUGCUAAGCCCGUAGCAGCCACGUAAAAUUUGCAACAACAAAGUAGAGGACGUCUAACUUGUUUUUGCAGGGCAUGUUGUGAUGUGAUAUGGUCAAGACGUGAUGCUAUAUUUUAUUGUAUGAGAUGAUCAUGUUUUGUAAUCGAAGUUAUCGGCAACUGGCAGGAGCCAUAUGGUUGUCGCUUUAUUGUAUGAAAUGCAAACGCCCUGUAAUUGCUUUACUUAUCACUAAGCGGUAGCGAUAGUCGUAGAAGCAAUAGAUGGCGUAACGACAAUGAUGCUACGAUGGAGAUCAAGGUGUCGCGCCGGUGACGAUGGUGAUCACGAUGGUGCUUCGGAGAUGGAGAUCACAAGCACAAGAUGAUGAUGGCCAUAUCAUAUCACUUAUAUUGAUUGCAUGUGAUGUUUAUCCUUUAUGCAUCUUAUCUUGCUUUGAUUGACGGUAGCAUUUUAAGAUGAUCUCUCACUAAAAUUAUCAAGAAGUGUUCUCCCUGAGUAUGCACCGUUGCGAAAGUUCUUCGUGCUGAGACACCACGUGAUGAUCGGGUGUGAUAGGCUCUACGUUCAAAUACAACGGGUGCAAAACAGUUGCACACGCGGAAUACUCAGGUUAAACUUGACGAGCCUAGCAUAUAACAGAUAUGGCGUCAGAACACGGAGACCGAAAGGUCGAGCGUGAAUCAUAUAGUAGAUAUGAUCUACAUAUUGAUGUUCACCGUUGAAACUACUCCAUCUCACAUGAUGAUCGGACAUGGAGUAGUUGAUAUGGAUCACGUAAUCACUUAGAGGAUUAGAGGGAUGUCUAUCUAAGUGGGAGUUCUUAAGUAAUAUGAUUAAUUGAACUUAAAUUUAUCAUGAACUUAGUCCUGGUAGUAUUUUGCAAAUUAUGUUGUAGAUCAAUAACUCGUGUUGUUGCUUUCAUAUGUUUAUUUUGAUAUGUUCCUAGAGAAAAUUGUAUUGAAAGAUGUUAGUAGCAAUGAUGCGGAUUGGAUCCGUGAUCUGAGGUUUAUCCUCAUUGCUGCAUAGAAGAAUUAUGUCCUUAAUGCACCGCUAGGUGACGGACCUAUUGCAGGAGCAGAUGCAGACGUUAUGAAUGUUUGGCUAGCUCAAUAUGAUGACUACUUGAUAGUUUAGUGCACCAUGCUUAACGGCUUAGAAUCGGGACUUCAAAGACGUUUUGAACGUCAUGGACCAUAUGAGAUGUUCCAGGAAUUGAAGUUAAUAUUUCAAGCAAAUACCCGAGUUGAGAGAUAUAAAGUCUCCAACAAGUUCUAUAGCUAAAAGAUGGAGGAGAAUCGCUCAACUAGUGAGCAUGUGCUCAGAUUGUCUGGGUACUUCAAUCGCUUGAAUCAAGUGGGAUUUAAUCAUCCAGAUAAGAUAGUGAUUGACAGAAUUCUCUAAUCACCAUCACUAAGUUACUAGAACUUCGUGAUGAACUAUAGUAUGCAAGGGAUUACCAAAAUGAUUCCCGAGCUCUUCGUGAUGUUUAAAUCAACGAAGGUAGAAAUCAAGAAAGAGCAUCAAGUGUUGAUGAUUGACAAGAUCACUAGUUUCAAGAAAAGGGCAAAGGGAAAGGAAGGGAAACUUCAAGUAGAAUGGCAAACAAGUUGUCACUCCCGUGAAGAAGACCAAAGCUGGACCAAAGCCUGAAACUGAGUGCUUACACUGCAAAGGAAAUGGUCACUGGAAGCGGAAAUGCCCUGAAUAUUUGGUGGAUAAGAAGGAUGGCAAAGUGAACAAGGGUAUAUUUGAUAUACAGGUUAUUGAUGUGUGCCUUACUAGUGUUUAUAGUAGCCCCUGAGUAUUUGAUACUUGUUUGGUUGCUAAGAUUAGUAACUCGAAACAGGAGUUACAGAAUAAACAAAGACUAGUUGAAGGGAAGUGACGAUGAGUGUUGGAAGUAGUUCCAAGAUUGAUAUGAUCAUCAUCACACACUCACUAUACUUUCGGGAUUAGUGUUAAACCUAAAUAAAUGUUAUUUGGCAUUUGCGUUGAGCAUGAACAUGAUUUGAUCGUGUUUAUUGCGAUAUGGUUAUUCAUUUAAAGUUAGAGAAUAAUUGUUAUUCUGUUUACAUGAAUAAGACCUUCGAUGGUCAUACACCCAAUGAACAUAGUUUGUUGGAUCUCGGUCGUAAUGAUACACAUAUUCAUAAUAUUGAUGCCAAAAGAUGCAAAGUUAAUAAUGAUAGUGCAACUUAUUUGUGGCACUGCCGUUUGGGUCAUAUGGGUAUAAGGCGCAUGAAGAACCUCCAUAAAGAUGGAUUUUUGGAAUCACUUGGUUAUGAAUCAUUUGAUGCUUGCGAACCGUGCCUUUUGGGCAAGAUGAAUAAAACUCCAUUCUCCGGAACAAUGGAACAAGCUACUGACUUAUUGGAAAUAAUACAUACCAAUGUAUGCGAUCCAAUGAGUGUUGAUGCUCGUGGCAAGUAUCAUUAUUUUCUGACCUUCACAGGAUGAUUUGAGCAGAUAUGGGUAUAUCUACUUGAUGAAACAUAAGUCUGAAAUAGUUGAAAGGUUCAAAGAAUUUCAGAGUGAAGUGGAAAAAUCAUCGUAACAAGAAAAUAAAAUUUCUAUGAUCUGAUCGCGGAUACGAAUAUUUGAGUUACGAGUUUGGUCUUCAAUUAAAACAAUGUGGAAUAGUUUCACAGCUCACGCCACCUGGAACACCACAACGUUAUGGUGUGUCCGAACGUCGUAACCGCACUUUAUUGGAUAUGGUGCGAUCUAUGAUGUAUCUUACCGAUUUACCACUAUCGUUUUGGGGUUAUGCACUAGAGACAGUUGCAUUCACUUUAAAUAGGGCACCAUCAAAAUCCGUUUGAGACGAUGCCUUAUGAACUGUGGUUUGGCAAGAAACCAAAGUUGUCGUUUCUUAAAGUUUGGGGCUACGAUGCUUAUGUGAAAAAGUUUCAUCCUGAUAAGCUCAAACCCAAAUCGGAGAAGUGCGUCUUCAUAGAAUACCCAAAGGAAACUGUUGGGUACACCUUCUAUCACAGAUCCGAAUGAAAGAUAUUCGUUGCUAAAAAUGGAUCCUUUCUAGAGAAGGAGUUUCUCUCGAAAGAAGUGAGUGGGAGGAAAGUAGAACUUGAUGAGGUAACUGUACCUACUCCUUAUUGGAAAAUAGUCCAUCACAAGAACCGGUUCCUGUGACAACUACACAAAUUAGUGAGGAAGCUAAUGAUAUUGAUCAUGAAACUUCAGAACAAGUUUCUACUGAACCUCGUAGGUCUACCAGAGUAAGAUCCGCACCAGAGUGGUACGGUAAUCUUAUUCUGGAAGUCAUGUUACUUGACCAUGGCGAACCUACGGACUAUGAGGAAGCGAUGAUGAGCCCAGAUUCCGUGAAAUGGUUUGAGGCCUUGAAAUCUGAGAUAGGAUCCAUGUAUGAGAACAAAGUGUGGACUUUGGUGGACUUGCCCGAUGAUCGGCAAGCCAUAGAAAAUAAAUGGAUCUUCAAGAGGAAGACUGGCGUUGAUAGUAGUGUUACUAUCUACAAAGCUCGACUUGUCGCAAAAAGGUUUCAACAAGUUCAAGGUGUUGAAUACAAUGAGAUUUUCUCACUCGUAUCGAUGCUUAAAAGUAUGUCCGAAUCAUGUUAGCAAUUGCCGCAUUUUAUGAUUAUGAAAUAUGGCAGAUGGAUGUCAAAACUGCAUUCCUGAACGGGUUUCUGGAAGAAGAGUUGUAUAUGAUGCAGCCAGAAGGUUUUGUCGAUCCAAAGGGAGCUAACAAAGUGUGCAAGCUCCAGCGAUCCAUCUAUGGACUGGUGGAAGCAUCUCAGAGUUGGAAUAUACGCUUUGAUAAGUUGAUCAAAGCAUAUAGUUUUAUACAAACUUGCGGUGAAGCCUGUAUUUACAAUAAAGUGAGUGGGAGCACUACCGCCUUUCUGAUAAAUAUAUGUGGGUGACAUAUUGUUGAUCAGGAAUGAUGUAGAAUUUUUCUGGAAAGCAUAAAGGAGUAUUUGAAAGGAGUUCUUUAAAAGAAAGACCUCAGUAAAGCUACUUACAUAUUGAGCAUCAAGAUUUAUUGAGAUAGAUCAAGACGCUUGAUAAGAUUUUCAAUGAGUACAUACCUUGUCAAGAUUUUGAAAUAGUUCAAAAUGGAACAGUCAAAGAAAGAGUUCUUGCCUGUGGUGCAAAGGUGUGAAAUUGAGUAAGACUUAAAUCCCGACCACGGCAGAAAAUAGAAAAGAGAAUGAAAGUCAUUCCCUAUGCCUCAGUCAUAGGUUCUAUAAAGUAUGCUAUGCUAUGUACCAGACCUAUCGUAUACCUUGCUAUGUAUUUGGCAAGGGAGUACAAUAGUGAUCUAAGAGUAGAUCAUUGGACAUUGGUCAAUAAUAUCCUUAGUGAGGACUAAGGAAAUAUUUCUCGAUUAUGGAGGUGAUAAAAGAGCCCGUCGUAAAGAGUUACAUCGGUGCAAGAUUUUACACCGAUCCAGAUGACUCUAAGUCUCAAUCUCGAUGCAUAUUGAAACUGGGAGCAAUUAGCUAGAGUAGCUCCGUGCAGAACAUUGUAGACAUAGAAUAUUUGCAAAAUACAUACGGCUCUGAAUGUGACAGACCUGUUGACUAAGCUUUUCUCACGAGCAAAACAUGAUCACACCUUAGUACUCUUUUAGGUGUUAAUCACAUAGCGAUGUGAACUAGAUUAUUGACUCUAGUAAACCCUUUGGGUGUUGAUCACAUGAUGAUGUGAACUAUGGGUAUUAAUCACAUACAGAUGUGAAUAUUGGUGUUAAAUCACAUGGCGAUGUGAACUAGAUUAUUGACUCUAGUGCAAGUGGGAGACUGAAGGAAAUAUGCCCUAGAGGCAAUAAUAAAGUUAUUAUUUAUUUCAUUAUAUCAUGAUAAAUGUUUAUUAUUCAUGCUAGAAUUGUAUUAACCGGAAACAUAAUACAUGUGUGAAUACAUAGACAAACAUAGUGUCACUAGUAUGCCUCUACUUGACUAGCUCGUUUAUCAAAGAUGGUUAUGUUUCCUAGCCAUGGACAAAAGAGUUGUCAUUUGAUUAACGGGAUCACAUCAUUAGGAGAAUGAUGUGAUUGACUUGACCCAUUCCGUUAGCUUAGCACUUGAUUGUUUAGUAUGUUGCUAUUGCUUUCUUCAUGACUUAUACAUGUUCCUAUGACUAUGAGAUUAUGCAACUCCCGUUUACCGGAGGAACACUUUAUGUGCUACCAAACGUCACAACGUAACUGGGUGAUUAUAAAGGAGCUCUACAGGUGUCUCCGAAGGUACAUGUUGGGUUGGCAUAUUUUGAGAUUAGGAUUUGUCACUCCGAUUGUCGGAGAGGUAUCUCUGGGCCCUCUCAGUAGUGCACAUCACUAUAAGCCUUGCAAGCAAUGUAACUAAUGAGUUACUUACGGAAUGAUGCAUUACGUAACGAGUAAAGAGACUUGCCGGUAACGAGAUUGAACUAGGUAUUGGAUCCCGACGAUCGAAUCUCGGGUAAGUAACAUAUUGAUGACAAAGGGAACAACAUAUGUUGUUAUGCGGUUUGACUGAUAAAGAUCUUCAUAGAAUAUGUGGGAGCCAAUAUGGGCAUCCAGGUCCCGCUAUUGGUUAUUGACCGGAAAUGUGUCUCGGUCAUGUCUACAUAGUUCUCGAACCCGUAGGGUCCGCACGCUUAACGUUUCGUUGACAAUAUAGUAUUAUAUGAGUUAUGUAUGUUGGUAACCGAAUGUUGUUCGGAGUCCCGGAUGAGAUCAUGGACAUGACGAGGAACUCCGGAAUGGUCGGGAGAUAAAGUGUGAUAUAUGGGAUAAUAGUGUUUGAUCUCCGGAAGGGUUCCGAAAUUCACCGGAAGGGGUUCCGGAUGUUUCCCAAAAUGUUUGGGUACGAGAACACGUUAUUUGGGCCAAAGGGGAAAGCCCACAAGGUUUUUGGAAAGCGCAAAAGGAAGUUUUGCAGAGUCCAGGGGCCAGACGCCAGGGUCCCUGGCGUCUGGGUCCAGACACCGGGAACCCUGGCGUCUGGUCCUGGAGUCCGAGAAGGACUCUUGCCUUUCGGGUGAAACCGACUUUGUGGAGGCUUUUACUCCAAGUUUCGACCCCAAGGCUCAACAUAUAAAUAGAGGGGCAGGGCUAGCACCAAAGACACAUCAAGAAACACCAAGCCAUGUGCCGGCAACCCCGUCCCCUCUAGUUUAUCCUUCGUCAUAGUUUCCGUAGUGCUUAGGCGAAGCCCUGUGGAGAUUGUUCUUCACCAACACCGUCACCACGUCGUCGUGCUGCCGGAACUCAUCUACUACUUCGCCCGUCUUGCUGCAUCGAGAAGGCGAGGACGUCAUCGAGUUGAACGUGUGCAGAACUCGGAGGUGUCGUGCAUUCGGUACUUGGAUCGGUCGGAUCGUGAAGACGUACGACUACAUCAACCGCGUUGAUAAAUGCUUCCGCUUAGCGAUCUUCAAGGGUAUGAAGAUACACUCCCCUUCUCGUUGCUAUGCAUCACCAUGAUCUUGCGUGUGCGUAGGACAAUUUUUUGAAAUUACUACGUUCCCCAACACAUAGUGAAUACAUGAACUCCUCAAACUACGGUCAUCACCGAGAAGUAUUCCGAUUAUUGUCACUUCGGGGUUGUCGGAUCAUAACACAUAAUAGGUGACUAUAGACUUGCAAGAUAGGAUCAAGAACACACAUAUAUUCAUGAAAACAUAAUAGGUUCAGAUCUGAAAUCAUGGCACUCGGGCCCUAGUGACAAGCAUUAAGCAUAGCAAAGUCAUAGCAACAUCUAUCUCAGAACAUAGUGGAUACUAGGUUAUCAAACCCUAACAAAGCUAACUUGAUUACAUGGUAAAUCUCAUCCAACCCAUCAUCGUCCAGCAAGCCUACGAUGGAAUUACUCACGCACGGCAGUGAGCAUCAUGAAAUUGGUGAUGGAGGAUCAUUGAUGAUGACGACGGCGAUGAAUCCCCUUCUCCGGAGCCCCAAACGGACUCCAGAUCAGCCCUCCUGAGAGAGAUUAGGGCUUGGCGGCAGCUCCAUGUCGUAAAACGCGAUGAAACUUUCUCUCUGAUUUUUUUCUCCCUGAACAUGAAUAUGUGGAGUUGGAGUUGACGUCGGUGGAGGUCCAGGGGGCCCACGAGAUAGGAGGCCACGCCCUACGGGGGGCGCGCCCGCCUGUCUCGUGGACAGGCUGUGGGCCCCCUGGCAUUAAUUCUUUCGCCAAAAAUUCUUAUUAAUUCCAAAAAGUGCCUCCGUGGAUUUCCAGGACAUUCCGAGAACUUCUCUUUUCUACACAUAAAAUAAGAUCAUGGUAGUUCUGCUGAAAACAGCGUCAAUCCGGGUUAGUUUCAUUCAAAUCAUGCAAGUUAUAGUCCAAAACAAGGGCAAAAGUGUUUGGAAAAGUAGAUACAUUGGAGACGUAUCAACUCCCCCAAGCUUAAACCUUUGCUUGUCCUCAAGCAAUUCAGUUGAUAAACUGAAAGUGACAAAGAAAAACUUUUACAAACCCUGUUUGCUCUUGUUGUUGUAACAUGAAAAGCCAGCAUUCAAGUUUCAGCAAAUAUUAUGAACUAACCAUACUCACAAUAACACAUAGGUCUCACAAUUACUCAUAUCAAUAGCAUAAUCAUCUAGCGAGCCAUAAUAAUAAAACUCGGAUGACAACACUUUCUCAAAAUAAUCAUAACAUGAUAUAACAAAAUGGUAUCUCGCUAGCCCUUUCUGAGACCGCAAAACAUAAAUGCAGAGAACCUUUAAAGAUCAAGGACUGACUAAACAUUGUAAUUCAUGGUAAAAGGGAUCCAGUCAAGUCAUACCCAAUAUAAACCAAUAAUAAUGAAUGCAAAUGACAGUGUGCUCUCCAGCGGGUGCUUUUAAUAAGAAGGAUGAUGACUCAACAUAAAAGUAAAUAUAUAGGACCUUCGCAGAGGGAACCAGGGAUCUGUAGAGGUGCCAGAGCUCGAUUUUAAAAUAGAGAUUGAAUAACAUUUUGAGCGGCAUACUUUUGCUGUCAAUGCAACAACUAUGAGAUGGCUGUAUCUUCCAUACUACAUGCAUUAUAGGCAGUUCCCAAACAGAAUGGUAAAGGUUUAUACUCCCCCAACCACCAACAAGCAUCAAUCCAUGGAUUGCUCAAAACAACGAGUGCCUCCAACAUACAACAGCCCUGGGGGAGUUUUGUUUAAUUAUUUUGAUUUGCUUUGAUCUUUUUGGAUCAUGGGACUGGGCAUCCCAGUUACCGGCCAUUUCUCGUGAAUGAGGAGCGGAGUCCACUCCUCGUGAGAAUAACCCACCUAGCAUGGAAGAUAUAGGCAACCCUAGUUGAAACAUGAGCUGCUCGAGCGUACAAAACAGAAUUUCAUUUGAAGGUUUGGAGUUUGGCACAUACAAAUUUACUUGGAACGGCAGGUAAAUACCGCAUAUAGGAAGGUAUAGUGGACUCAUAUUGAACAACUUUGGGGUUUAUGGAGUUUGGAUGCACAAGCAGUAUUCCCGCUUAGUACAGGUGAAGGCUAGCAAAAGACUGGGAAGCGACCAACUGAGAGAGCGACAACAGUCGUAAACAUGCAUUAAAAUUAAUUUACACCGAACACAAACAUGAGUAGGAUAUAAUCCACCAUGAACAUAAAUAUCGUGAAGGCUAUGUUGAUUUGAUUCAACUACAUGCGUGAACAUGUGCCAAGUCGAGUCACUCAAUUCACUUAAAGGAGGAUACCAUCCCACUAUAUCACAUCAUAAUCAUUCUAAUAGCAUGUUGGCACGCAAGGUAAACCAUUAUAACUCAUAGCUAAUCAAGCAUGGAACAAGCAACUAUAAUCUCUAAAUGUCAUUGCAAAUAUGUUUACUUCAUAAUAGCUGACUCAGGAACGAUGAACUCAUCAUAUUUACAAAAACAAGAGAGGUCGAGUUCAUACUAGCUUUUCUCAUCCCAAUAAGUCCAUCAUAUACCGUCAUUAUUGCCUUUCACUUGCACGACCGAACGAUGUGUAUAAUAAUAAGAGUGCACGUGCAUUGGACUAAGCUGGAAUCUGCAAGCAUUCAACUCAAGAGAGAAGACAAAGUAAUAUGGGCUCUAAGUUAAAUAAAUAAGCAUGCAUAUAAGAGCCACUAAGCAUUUUCAAUAAGGUCUUCUCGACCCCCAAAGGAAAGAAAAGAAAAUAAAACUAUUUACACGGGAAAGCUCCCAACAAGUAAAAAGAACUAGAAAUAUUUUUGGGUUUUCAUUUUAAUUUCUACUACAAGCAUAGAAUUUAAACUAACUGUUUUUUUGGUUUUUUCUUAAGUUUUAUCAAACACACAAGAAGAAAACUAGAAAAAGAAAUUUAAACUAGCAUGGAUAAUACAAUGAAAGAGUAUGAGCACCGACGACUAGUGUGUGAACAUGAAUGUAAAGUCGGUGAGAAAUACGUACUCUCCCAAGCUUAGGAUUUUGGCCUAAGUUGGUUUAAUACCAAGGACCGCCGCUACUCUCCCCGGUGUAGUGGGAGGUGUAAUCAGGAUACCACUGGUUGGUCAUCUCCGGAUCCCACUGGACAGAUGAUGCACGAUAAGGGUCCAGCUCAGGUUCCGGCUCAGGUCCAGGUUCUGGAGUAAAAGCUUGAGCUCGAUGAUUGUUCACCGCUUCCGCUGUGACAACAUGAUUUUCUGCAAGCAAAUCAAACAACAGAGGCGCAGGCAAAAUAAUAAUCUCAAUGUGUUUCUUAUUGAAUCUAAGUUUAUACAAGAGCAUCUUUUCUUCGUUGUCAACAAUAAACUUGUGUGCUACCAUGCUCUUGUAAUCUAAAAUGUGAGGAUGCAAUUUUAUCUCAUCCUCCUCAUGGUGCCUAAUGGGUAUCUGAAAAUGUUCAGCAAGACGUGCAGCAUAGAUACCUCCAAAUAUGGGGCCUUUUGUAUGAUUCAGGGCUAGCCGUUUAGCAACGACGACACCCAUACUAAAAGUGUUGUCUCCCAGCAAAGCAUGUUGAAGAAUAAUAACAUCUGGAACGCUCAAAUUUCCACUAUUUCCACGACCAAUCAAGCAUCUACUAGCAAAUAUGGCAAAGUAGCAUAAAACAGGAAAGUGUAUGCUAGAGACUUUUGCCUCAGAGCCCUUCUUUGGCUCUUCCACAGCAAUGGUUUUAACGAAGCCACCCACAUCUUCACGAUGGGGUUCCUCUAAUUCUCCCUCAUAAGGUAUCCUACAUACCGCACAAAAAUGACAUAAAGACAUUUCUUUGAAUUCAUCAUAUAAAUGAAAUGAUACUACAGGCGGUGACUUCUUAGGAUAAAAAUAAAAGUUUUGCACGAAAGUAUUGGUAAGUAAGAGAUACUGAUAGAUUCGGUCGUUGAUGAAACCGGUGAGGCCUGCAGUCUCAAUUAAAGCAUAAAAGUCUUCAUGAAUUCUAGCUUCUUUCAAGAAAUCCUCGCAUGGCCAUUCACACGACCGUACUUCCGCUAAGCGAGGAAGAUUAUACUUGGCUUUUUCCUUCGUUUUGUCUUGUUUUUCCUUAGAGCUUUGGCUAGAAGAGCCUUUAAAGAGCCUCCUUAACAUUUUCUGAAAAUUUCUGAAAUUUUAGUAACUUCAAAACAAAAGUGAAUAAAACUAAACAAGAUUGGUAGCAACUACUCCUACAAGUUCCUAGAGCCUAUAUCAUGCAUUGGAAUUGCUUGGGACCUCAAAAAUUUAACAUGCAAGCUCAAGAACAUGGUCACCUAUGCAGCAAAAAUUUGCAAUGAAUAAAGCACUAGAACAAAAACUAUUUGGACCAAUGGAGGAGUCACAUACCAAGCAACAAUCUCCCAAAGCAGUUUUGUGAAUGGAGCUUUGAGCUAAGAGAUCGAAAAUCGCAGCAAAACGAGCUAGAACUCGGGCUUGAGCUGGAACGGGAUUUUUUUGGGUAGAAGAUGAAGUGUGUGGGUGCUGGCAUAAGUGGAGGGGAGCCACCAGGGGCCCACGAGACAGGGGGCGCGCCCUAUAGGGGGGCCCUCCUCUCUCGUGGCCUGGUGCUUGCCCUUUCUGCAGUGUUUUCAGUGCCUAAAAUCCUCAAAUAUUCUAGAAAAAAUCAUACUAAAUUUGCAAGGCAUUUGGAGCACUUUUAUUUUCAGACUAUUUUUUAAUGCACAGAUAAUUCAGAAAACAGACGGAUAAUACUAUUUUUGCUAAAUUUAUUCUAAAUAACAGAAAGUAAAAGGAGGGUACAGAAGGUUGUGCCUUCUAGUUUCAUCCAUCUCGUGAUCAUCAAAAUGAAUCCACUAACAAGGUUGAUCAAGUCUUGUUAACAAACUCAUUCCGAAUAACACAGAACCGGAGAAAUUUCGAAUAACACUAAGUUACCUCAACGGGGAUAUGAAAAUCCCCAACAAUAAGAAUAUCAUACUUUUUCUUGACAGUAGGGAGAGGAAAUUCAAAACCUCCAAAAAUGAUAGUUGGAACUUUUUCAAUAGAAUUGAUGCUAUGAACUUGAGAUUGUUUCCUCAGAAAGUGUACCGUAUGCUCAUUACCAUUAACAUGAAAAGUGACAUUGCCUUCGUUGCAAUCAAUAAUAGCCCCUGCAGUAUUAAGAAAAGGUCUACCAAGGAUAAUAGACAUACUAUCGUCCUCGAGAAUAUCAAGAAUAACAAAGUCCGUUAAGAUAGUGACAUUUGCAACCACAACAGGCACAUCCUCACAAAUACCGACAGGUAUAGCAGUUGAUUUAUCAGCCAUUUGCAAAGAUAUUUCAGUAGGUGUCAACUUAUUCAAUUCAAGUCUACGAUAUAAAGAGAGAGGCAUAACACUGACACCGGCUCCAAGAUUACAUAAAGCAGUUCUAACGUAAUUUCUUUUAAUGGAACAUGGUAUAGUUGGUACACCCGGAUCUCCAAGCUUCUUUGGUAUUCCACCCUUAAAAGUGUAAUUAGCAAGCAUGGUGGAAAUUUUAGCUUCCGGUAUCUUUCUUUUAUUUGUGAUGAUAUCCUUCAUAUACUUAGCAUAAGGAUUUACUUCAAGCAUAUCAGUUAAGCGCAUAUGUAAGAAAAUAGGUCUAAUCAUUUCAGCAAAGCGCUCAAAAUCCUCAUCAUCCUUUGACUUGUAUGGUUUAGGAGGAAAGGGCAUGGGUUUCUGGACCCAUGGUUCUCUUUCUUUACCCUUCCUAGCAACAAAAUCUCUCUUAUCAUAAUGUUGAUUCUUUGAUUGUGGGUUAUCAAGAUCAACAGCAGGUUCAAUCUCUACAUCAUUUUUUUUGCUAGGUUGAGCAUCAACAUGAACAUUAUCAUUAACAUUAUCACUAGGUUCAUGUUCAUCACCUGAUUGUGUUUCAGCAUCAGAGAUAGAAAUAUCAUUGGGAUUCUCAGGUGUGUCUACAGUAGGUUCACUAGAAGCAUGCAAAGUUCUAUCGUCUUUCUUUUUCUUCUUUUUAGAAGAACUAGGUGCCUCUAAAUUAUUUCUCUGAGAAUCUUGCUCAAUUCUCCUAGGGUGGCCUUCAGGAUACAAAGGUUCCUGAGUCAUUCUACCAGUUCUAGUAGCCACUCUAACCGCAAAGUCAUUUUUAUUAUUUAAUUCAUCAAGCAAAUCAUUUUGAGCUUUGAGUACUUGCUCGGCUUGAGUAGCAACCAUAGAAGCAUAUUUGCUAACGCGGUGAAGUUCAUAUUUAACUCUAGCCAGAUUAUCACCUAUGCAUCCGAUCUCAAAAGCAUUAUUCUUUAACUCUCUACCAACAUAAGCAUUAAAACUUUCUUGUCUAGCCAUAAAGUCAUCGAAUUCAUCUAAGCAAGGGCUAUGAAAUUUAGUAGAGGGAAUUUCAACUUUAUCAUAUCUAUAGGGAGAAUUUACCUUUACUACCUGUGUCGGGUUAUCAAGACAAUAUGGUUCUUCAGGCGGUAUAUUCAGACCAUGUAUUUCUUCAAUAGGAGGUAAAUUCUUAACAUCUUCAGCUUUAAUACCUUUUUCUUUCAUUGAUUUCUUUGCCUCUUGCAUAUCUUCAGGACUGAGAAAUAAAACGCCUCUCUUCUUCGGAGUGGGUUUAGGAAUAGGCUCAGGAGUUGGCUCAAUUGGUUCAGGAACUUCAGGAACUGGCUCAGGAAGAGUCCAAUUAUUUUCAUUAGUCAACAUAUUAUUCAAUAGUAUUUCAGCUUCGUCGACUGUUCUUUCCCUGAAAACACAACCAGCACAACUAUCCAAGUAGUCCUUGGAAGCAUCGGUUAGUCCAUUAUAAAAGAUAUCAAGUAUUUCAUUUUUCUUAAGAGGAUGAUCAGGCAAAGCAUUAAGUAACCGGAGAAGCCUCCCCCAAGCUUGUGGGAGACUCUCUUCUUUGAUUUGCACAAAAUUAUAUAUUUCCUGCAAGGCAGCUUGUUUCUUAUGAGCAGGGAAAUAUUUAGCAGAGAAGUAAUAAAUCAUAUCCUGGGGACUACGCACACAACCAGGAUCAAGAGAAUUAUACCAAGUCUUAGCAUCACCCUUUAAUGAGAACAGAAAUAUCUUAAGGAUAUAUAAAUAGCGAGACUUCUCAUCAUUAGUAAACAGGGUGGCUAUAUCAUUCAAGUUGGUAAGAUGUGCCACAACAGUUUCAGAUUCAAGGCCAUAAAAAGGAUCAGAUUCAACUAAAGUAAUAAUAUCAGGAUCAACAGAGAAUUCAUAAUCCUUAUCAGUAACACAGAUAGGUGAAGUAGCAAAAGCAGGAUCAGGUUUCAUUCUAGCAUUAAGAGACUGCUGCUUCCAUUUAGCUAAUAAUUUCUUAAGAUCAUUUCUAUCAUUGCAAGCAAGAAUUUCCCAGCAGCUUCUUCAAUCAUAACAUAACCCUUAGGAACAACAUGUAAUACAUAAUCAUUGGGGGGGACCUUCAUCAUCACUAUCAUCAAUAGGUUCUUCAAUAUUUUCAUUCCCCCUAACUCUAGCAAGUUGUUCAUCAAGAAAUUCACCUAAUGGCAAAGUAGUAUCAAGCACAGAAGUAGUUUCAUCAUGCAUAGCAGAAGUGGCAUCAUCAAUAACAUGUGACAUAUCAGAAUUCAUAGCAGUAGUAGGUUUAGGUGUCGCAAGCCUACUAAUAAUGGAAGGAGAAUCUAGUGCAGAGCUAGAUAGCAGUUCCUUACCUCCCCUUGUAGUUGAGGGCAAAAUCUUGGUUUUAGCGUCUUUCAAGUUCUUCAUAGUGAUCAACAGAUAUAAAUCCCAAGUGACUCAAAGAAUAGAGCUAUGCUCCACGGCAACGGCGCCAAAAAUCCUUCUUACCACGUCUUGAGCUUGCAUUGGUUUUCCUCGAAGAGGUGACGGUGAUGUACCAAGUGUAGCGUAAGUAUUUCCCUUAGUUUUGAGAACCAAGGUGUCAAUCCAGUAGGAGGCUCCUCAAAAGUCCCACGCACCUACACAAACAAACUGAGAACUUGCAACCAACGCAAUAAAGGGGUUGUCAAUCCCUUCACGGCCACUUGCGAAAGUGAUAUCUAAUAAAGAUAGUAAGAUACGAUAAAUAUAUUUUUGGUAUUUUAUAAUAUAGAUGCAAAAAGUAAAGAUGCAAAUAAAGGUAGACUGAAAGCAAAUAUGAUAAUAAAUAGACCCGGGGGCCAUAGGUUUCACUAGAGGCUUCUCUCAAGAUAGCAUAAGUAUUACGGUGGGUGAACAAAUUACUGUCGAGCAAUUGAUAGAAAAGCGCAUAGUUAUGAGAUUAUCUAGGCAUGAUUAUGUAUAUAGGCAUCACGUCCAUAACAAGUAGACCGACUCCUGCCUGCAUCUACUACUAUUACUCCACACAUCGACCGCUAUCCAGCAUGCAUCUAGAGUAUUAAGUUCAUAAGAACAGAGUAACGCAUUAAGCAAGAUGACAUGAUGUAGAGGGAUAAACUCAAGUAAUAUGAUAUAAACCCCAUCUUGUUAUCCUCGAUGGAAACAAUACAAUACGUGCCUUGCAACCCUUUCUGUCACUGGGUAAGGACACCGCAAGAUUGAACCCAAAGCUAAGAACUUCUCCCAUGGCAAGAAAAACCAAUCUAGUAGGCCAAACCAAACCGAUAAUUCGAAGAGACUUGCAAAGAGAACUCAAUCAUACAUAAAAGAAUUCAAAGAAGAUUCAACUAUUAUUCAUAGAUAAACUUGAUCAUAAACCCACAAUUCAUCGGAUCUCAACAAACACACCGCAAAAAGAGUUUACAUCGAAUAGAUCUCCACAAGAGAGGGGGAGAACAUCGUAUUGAGAUCCAAAAAGAGAGAAGAAGCCAUCUAGCUAAUAACUAUGGACCCGUAGGUCUGUGGUAAACUACUCACAACUCAUCGGAGGGGCAAGAAUGUUGAUGUAGAGGCCCUCCGUGGUUGAUUCCCCCUCCGGCAGAGUGCCGACGAAGGCUCCAAAAUGAGAUCUUGCGGAUACAGAAGGUUACGGUGGUGGAAAUUGUGUUUCGUGGUGCCCCUAGAUGUUUUGGGGGUACGUAGGUAUAUAUAGGAUGAAGAAGUACGUCAAUGGCCGCCCGAGGGGCCCACGAGACAGGGGGGCGCCCUACAAGGGGGGGGGUGCGGCCUGCUAUCUCGUGGGGGCCUCGGGUGCUUCUUGACUUGCACUCCAAGCUCUCCGGAUCACGUUCGUUCCAAAAAUCACGCUCCCGAAGGUUUUAUUCUGUUUGGACUCCGUUUGAUAUUCCUUUUCUUCGAAAUACUGAAAUAGGCAAAAAAACAACAAUAUGGGCUAGGCCUCCGGUUAGUAGGUUAGUCCCAAAAAUGAUAUAAAUGUGUAAAAUAAAGCCCAUAAACAUCCAAAAGGGGUAAUAUAAUAGCAUGGAACAAUCAAAAAUUAUAGAUACGUUGAAGACGUAUCAAGCAUCCCCAAGCUUAAUUCCUGCUCGUCCUCGAGUAGGUAAAUGAUAAAAAAGAAAUUUUUGAUGUGGAAUGCUACCUAGCAUAAUUCUCAAUGUAAUUUUCUUUAUUGUGGCAUGAAUGUUCAGAUCCAAAUGAUACAAAAUAAAAGUUCAUAUUGACAUAAGAAAUAGUAAUACUUCAAGCAUACUAAUCAAAGUAAUCAUGUCUUCUCAAAAUAACAUGGCCAAAGAAAGUUAUCCCUACAAUAUCAUAUAGUUUGGCUAUUGCUCUAUCUUCAUCACACAAAGUAUUUAAUCAUGCACAACCCCGAUGACAAGCCAAGCAAUUGUUUCAUACUUUAAUAAUCUCAAACUUUUUCAACUUUCACGCAAUACAUGAGCGUGAGCCAUGGACAUAGCACAAUAUGUGGAAUAGAAUGGUGGUUGUGGAGAAGACAAAAAAAGAGAAGAUAGUCUCACAUCAACUAGGCGUAUUAACGGGCUAUGGAGAUGCCCAUUAAUAGAUAUCAAUGUGAGUGAGUAGGGAUUCCAUGCAACGGAUGCACUAGAGCUAUAAAUAUAUGAAAGCUCAACAAAAGAAACUAAGUGGGGUGCAUCCAACUUGCUUGCUCACGAAGACCUAGGGCACUUUUGAGGAAGCCCAUCAUUGGAAUAUACAAGCCAAGUUCUAUAAUGAAAAAUUCCCACUAGUAUAUGAAAGUGACAACAUAUGAGACUCUCUAUCAUGAAGAUCAUGGUGCUAUUUUGAAGCACAAGUGUGGAAAAAGAGAUAGUAGCAUUGUCCCUUCUCUCUUUUUCUCUCAUUUUAUUUUUUCUUCUUUCUUUUUUUCUCUUUUUUUCCUUUUUUUUCUUUUCUUUGGCCUUCUUUUUUUUUGGCCUUUCUCUUUUUUUUCUUUUUGUAAAGUUCGAAGUCUCAUCCCGACUUGUGGGGGAAUCAUAGUCUUCAUCAUCCUUUCCUCACUAGGACAAUGCUCUAAUAAUGAAGAUCAUCACACUUUUAUGGAUUUACAACUCAAAGCUAGAACAAGAUAUGACUCUAUAUGAAUACCUCCGGCGGUGUACCGGGAUAUGCAAUGAAUCAAGAGCGACAUGUAUGAAAAUUAUGAAGGUGGCCUUGCCACAAAUACAAUGUCAACUACAUGAUCAUGCAAAAAGCAAUAUGACAAAAGUAAUGCAUGUCAUAUGAACGGAAUGGUGGAAAGUUGCAUGGAAACAUAUCUCGUAAUGGCUAUGGAAAAGCCAUAAUAGGUAGGUAUGGUGGCUGUUCUGAGGAAGGUGAAUGGUGGGUAUAUGGUACCGGUGAAAGUUGCGCGGUACAAGAGAAGCUAGCAAUGGUGGAAGGGUGAAAGGGUGCGUAUAAUCCAUGGACUCAACAUUAAUCAAAAGAACUCAUAUACUUGUUGCAAAAAUUUAGAAAUCAUUAAAAAGCAAAGUACUACGUGCAUGCUCCUAGGGGGAUAGAUUGGUAGGAAAAGACCAUCGCUCGUCCCCGACCGCCACUCAUAAGGAAGACAAUCAAUAAAUAAAAUUCUGCUCCAACUUCAUCACAAAGCGGUUCACCAUACGUGCAUGCUACGGGAAUCACAAGCUUCAACACAAGCAUUCUUUAAAUUCAUAAUCACCCAACUAGCAUGACUUUAAUAUCACUACCUCCAUAUCUCAAAACAAUUAUCAAGCAUCAAAUUGAUCAUAGCAUCCAAUUCACUUUCUAUGAUAGUUUUUAUUAUACCCAACUUGGAUGCUCAUCAUUCUAGGACCAACUUUAUGAUCAUAGCAAAAAACCAUGCUGUUCUAAAAGACUCUCAACAUAAUAUAAGUGAAGCAUGAGAGGCUAGCAAUUUCUUCAAAAAUAAGACACCACCGUGCUCUAAAAGAUAUAAGUGAAGCACUAGAGCAAAAACUAUCAAGCUCAAAAGAUAUAAGUGAAGCACAUAGAGUAUUCUAGCAAAUUCUAAUCAAAUAGGCUUCUCCCAAAAGGUGUGUACAGAAAGGAUGAUUGUGGUAAACUAAAAAGCAAAGACUAAUAUAAUACACGACGCUCCAAGCAAAACACAUAUCAUGUGGCGAAUAAAAAUAUAGCUCCAAGUAAAGUUACCAAUGAACGAAGACGAAAGAGGGGAUGCCUUCCCGGGGCAUCCCCAAGCUUAGGCUUUUGGCUAUUCUUGAAUAUCUUGGGGUUCCUUGGGCAUCCCCAAGCUUAGGCUAUUGCCACUCCUUAUUCCAUAGUCCAUAAAAGCUUUACCCAAAACUUGAAAACUUCACAACACAAAACUCAACAGGAAAUCUUAUAAGCUCCGUUAGUGAAAGAAAACAAAACCACCACAUAAGGUACUGCAAUGAACUCAUUCUUUAUUUAUUUUGGUGUUAAACCUACUGUAUUCCAACUUUCUUAUGGUUUAUAAACUAAUUUACUAGCCAUAGAUGCAUUGAAAUAAGCAAACACACGAAAAACAGAAUCUGUCAAAAACAGAACAGUCUGUAGCAAUCUGUAACUAACGCAAACUUCUGGAACUCUAAAAAUCCUACCAAAAUAGGAAGUCCUGGACAAUUUUUUUAUUGAACAGCAGCAAAAAGAAUCAACGCAAAAGCACGUUCCUGUGAUUUAACAACAUUAUAUUUGUGCGUGCAAAGUUUCUGUUUUUCAGCAGAAUCAAAUCAACUAUCAUCGUAGGUUAUCCUAUAGGUUCUACUUGGCACAAACACUAAUUAAAAGAUAAAAACACAUCUAACCAGAAGGUAGAUGCAAGAUUUAUUACUAAACAGGAGCAAAAACAAAAAACAUAAAGAAAAAUUGGGUUGCCUCCCAACUAGCGCUAUCGUUUAACGCCCCUAGCUAGGCAUAAAAGCAAGGAUAGAUCUAACGAGUGCCAUCUUUGGCACUAAAUUCAUAAGUAGAGAGAUUGUGAUCUCUAGGUAUUUCUUCCUUUUUAGCAAUGGCUAAACCUUUAGGCAAAAUAUCAAGAAAUUCAUUGGUAGCAAAAGGUUCUUUAACGAUAGAGAGACAAUUGGGAAGAACACUUAUGGAUUUGAGAUCCGCGUCUCCCUUAGAAGAUUCACCCUUAUUUUUAGGAACAUAAAUAAACUUGGCAGUUUUAAUAGGGGGUUUUGGAGUGUUUUUCAUGGGGGAAAACACGGAACCUAAGUUUGUAAUGAUAUCCUCAAGUUUACCGAUUCUAGCAGAGUCUAGAUUUAUUUUUUCAUUGACUAUAGGUUCUUUUUCUUUAAGAUUUUUCAAAGUAACUCCAACCCUAGAUCCAAAUUGGGUAAUGUGAUUAUGAAUCUUUUUAUCCAAAUUUUCAAUCAACUCAAUAGUGGCAAUUUUAUUUUCAAUAAUAUCAAGCCGUUGCAUCAGAUGUUCUAGAGUUAAAACCGUUCCAUUAACCAAAAGAGGUGGUGGGCCAAACAAAUCUAAUAUAACAUUAUAAGCAUCAAAAGUAUGGCUACUCAUAAAAUCACCUCCGGUAGCAAUAUCGAGAACACAUCUAUUCCAAGGAGUAAUGCGUACAUAAAAAUUGCGGAGAAGAACGAAAGUAGCAAGCUUCCUAGUAGCUUUAUAUUGGGCAUUGCAAAUUCUAUGCCAAGCAUCUUUUAAACUUCCCCUCUCCCUUUGCUUAAAAUUGUGAAUUUCUUGUUCGGGAGUGAGAAUAAGGACAGGAGGACUAGCCAUGACGACAAGGUAAACGAACUAACACACGAGCAAACAGAAAAAGGGCAAGCGAAAAGAGAGGAGGAGAUUGGGAAAGAUAGGGCGAAUAAAAUGGCAAGGGUGAAGUGGGGGAGAGGAAAACGAGAGGCAAAUGGCAAAUAAUGUAAAUGCGAGGGAGAUGGGUUUCUGAUGGGUACUUGGUAUGUCUUGACUUGAGCGAAGACCUCCCCGGCAACUGCGCCAGAAAUUUAGUCUUGAUAACCCACAAGUGUAGGGGAUCGCAAUAGCUUUCGAGGGUAAAGUAUUCAACCCAAAUUUAUUGAUUCGACACAAGGGGAGCCAAAGAAUAUUCUUGAGUAUUAGCAGUUGAGUUGUCAGUUCAACCACACCUGGAUAACUUAGUAUCUGCAGCAAAGUAUUUAGUAGCAAAAGUGGUAUGAUAAUAAAGGUAACGGUAGCAAAAGUAGAGAUAAAUAUUUUUGGGUUUUUGUAGUAGUUGUAACAGUAGCAACGGAAAAGUAAAUAAGCGAAGAACAAUAUGUGAAAAGCUCGUAGGCAAUGGAUCAGUGAUGGAUAAUUAUGCGGAUGCGAUUCCUCAUGCAAUAGUUAUAACAUAGGGUGAUAUAAAACUAGCUCCAGUUCAUCAAUGUAAUGUAGGCAUGUAUUCCGUAAAUAGUCACACGUGCUUAUGGAAAAGAACUUGCAUGACAUCUUUUGUCCUACCCUCCCGUUGCAGCGGGGUCCUUACGGAAACUAAGGGAUAUUAAGGCCUCCUUUUAAUAGAGAACCGGAACAAAGCAUUAACACAUAGUGAAUACAUAAACUCCUCAAACUACGGUCAUCACCGAGAAGUAUCCCGAUUAUUGUCACUUCGGGGUUGUCGGAUCAUAACACAUAAUAGGUGACUAUAGACUUGCAAGAUAGGAUCAAGAACACACAUAUAUUCAUGAAAAUAUAAUAGGUUCAGAUCUGAAAUCAUGGCACUCGGGCCCUAGUGACAAGCAUUAAGCAUAGCAAAGUCAUAGCAACACCAAUCUCAGAACAUAGUGGAUACUAGGGAUCAAACCCUAGCAAAACUAACUUGAUUACAUGGUAAAUCUCAUCCAACCCAUCACCGUCCAGCAAGCCUACGAUGGAAUUACUCACGCACGGCGGUGAGCAUCAUGAAAUUGGUGAUGGAGGAUGGUUGAUGAUGACGACGGCGAUGAAUCCCCCUCUUCGGAACUUCGAACGGACUCCAGAUCAGCCCUCUCGAGAGAGAUUAGGGCUUGGCGGCGGCUCCGUGUCGUAAAAUGCGAUGAAACUUUCUCUCCGAUUUUUUUCUCCUCGGACGUGAAUAUAUGGAGUUGGAGUUGAUGUCGGUGGAGGUCCAGGGGGCCCACGAGAUAGGAGGCCACGCCCUAGGGGGGCGCGCCCCCUGUCUCGUGGACAGGCUGUGGGGCCCCUGGCAUUAAUUCUUUCGCCAAAAAUUCUUAUUAAUUCCAAAAAGUGCCUCCGUGGAUUUCCAGGACAUUCCGAGAACUUUUCUUUUCUACACAUAAAACAAGAUCAUGGCAGUUCUGCUGAAAACAGCGUCAGUCCGGGUUAGUUUCAUUCAAAUCAUGCAAGUUAGAGUCCAAAACAAGGGCAAAAGUGUUUAGAAAAGUAGAUACGUUGGAGACGUAUCAGAGCUGCUGAAGCUUGGCGAGUUGCGGGCGCCGCCAGGAGCGGGCUCGCCUUUGUCCUCAUCACGGCCGUCGCCAAGGCCAAGCACCCGGUCACCAUCAUCAUCUUCAGGCUAGCACCCGACACGGUGGCCGUCUUCUCCGAACACCCUCACAUAGAGGGUGACGUCGCCGUCAAACUUGAAGUGCAGGGUGCACCGCAGGCCCAGGCCACGCGCGCGGGCAAAUGUCUGCCAGCCACGGGCCAAGGCCACGUCCCCAGCAAUGGAGAUCUCCACCGUGACCCAGGAAGCCCUGCUUCAGCAACCAUCUGCCUGCAGCUAGAUCCCACCAGGGCCGACGGCCGGCAGUUCGUCGGCAAAGAAGCAGGGGAGCUGGAGCCAGUUGCCGGCCGGAUCUGCCAACCACACGACAAACUCCGGCAGCACCUCUGCCGAGUGAAAGCGUGGCCAAGGAGGCCGCGCGGCCAUGACGCGUCUUCCCCCACCCACCAGGAGGCCAUCACUACGCGAAGAACCACCGCCGCGACCACGAGGAGCCGCUGCAGGAGUCGCGGGGUGCUUGCGGGGACGUCCUCGGCCGCGCUUGGGCAGAGGGGAGCCAGGCCCUUCCUGGCGAGCUUUCCCCUUCUCCGUGGCCGAGAACCUCUUCGUCGGCGCCAUGGGACACGACAUGCAACUGGAGCAAGGAGGAAGAAGAAGCAGGCGGGGGAAGGGAGAUGUGCAGCGGGUGCCUGCACUCCCUCCACAUUUAUAACCCAAGGGAGGCCAACCGUCGGCCUCCACGACCGCAGGUAAUCAUAACUCUUUUAACAUGCAGCAGGGACUCAUCAAAUCGGGCAGUUGCCGAGGCAGCAUGGGGAACUGGAGACGCCCACGUCUAAUCAAUCGCCACGCAGCGACCAAGGCCGCAGGCUGUUGGGGCCCGCGGUGCUCCGCACUUGCCCUUUCGCUUCACCGCUCAGCCAAGUCCGAGCGCGCAUUGGGCCCGGGGGCUGCUGUCGGCGUUCUGGGAACAGGGGUCCCCAGACUUGCCUGCCUGCGGCCCGUGGCGUGGCUCAAGUAGUGGCCCAGUACGGCCCUUCUUCAUCAACCCAGACUCAAGACCCUCGCGAGGGGCCAAGCCUCGCGGGGCGGACGAUGCAAAGCUUCCUCAAGGGCGGCCUCACCAGACUGGCUCGCGAGGAGGCGAAGAGAUCAAGGCAGGGGUACCUCGCGAGGUGCUCGUGAAGCAAGCCAUGACGAUCAAGACCAGGCGGGCGCCAGCCUGCGCAGUGUCCUCGUUUCCUCUUUGGUGCAAAGGGGGCAAGUGCAGGCGCGGAGUACCGAGGCAUCAAGCAAAGGUUACCAUUUCGGUGCAACGAGACCAAGACCAGCAGAGCGGCAGGACGGAGGUCACCGUGGAGCCCAAGACGGCGUCAUCGCCAGUGCCUUUGGCAGCCAAAGACCAACUCUAGUCAGGAUAACUUGUACUAGAUGUUCCCCUUCAAAAUGGCCGUUAUUGGCUCCCUUCCCGCUCAAUAUUUGGGGAGAGGACCAGGGCCUCUAUAUAUAGAGAUAGCCACCACAGUAGAGGGCAUCGAGCUCUCAUCUGAUCCAGAGGCGAUCGAACCCACCUAAGUAGAACACCACAGCAGCUCAAGAACACCUCUCGCGAGGCUGUUCUUCCUCUGUACUGUUCAUCAUCAGCCCUUGAGGCAAUCCACCACACCAUAAACUAGAGUAGGGUAGUACACCACAACGGCGGCCCGAACUAGUAUAAACCCCGUGUCCCUUGUGUUGUUCAUCGUGUAGCUUAGAUUCAAAGCGAGGCGUUGGGAUGUGGAUCGUGUUGGAAAUAUGCCCUAGAGGCAAUAAUAAAAGUGUUAUUAUUAUAUUUCUUUGUUCAUGAUAAUAGUCUUUUAUUCAUGCUAUAACUGUGUUAUCCGGAAAUCAUAAUACACAUGUGAAUACAUAGACCACAAUAUGUCCCUAGUGAGCCUCUAGUUGACUAGCUCGUUGUGAUCAACAGAUAGUCAUGGUUUCCUGGCUAUGGACAUUGGAUGUCGUUGAUAACGGGAUCACAUCAUUAGGAGAAUGAUGUGAUGACAAGACCCAAUCCUAAGCAUAGCACAAAGGUCGGUUAGUUCAUUUGCUAGAGCUUUUCCAAUGUCAAGUAUCUCUUCCUUCGACCAUGAGAUCGUGUAACUCCUGGAUACCGUAGGAAUGCUUUGGGUGUAUCAAACGUCACAACGUAACUGGGUGACUAUAAAGGUGCACUACAGGUAUCUCCGAAAGUGUCUAUUGGGUUGACACGGAUCGAGACUGGGAUUUGUCGCUCCGUAUGACGGAGAGGUAUCUCUGGGCCCACUCGGUAAUGCAUCAUCAUAAUGAGCUCAAGGUGACCAAGGUGUUGGCCACGGGAUCAUGCAUUACGGUACGAGUAAAGUGACUUGCCGGUAACGAGACUGAACAAGGUAUUGGGAUACCGACGAUCGAGUCUCGGGCAAGUAACGUACCGAUUGACAAAGGGAAUUGUAUACGGGGUUUGAUCGAAUCCUCGACAUCGUGGUUCAUCUGAUGACUUGAUCGAGGAGCAUGUGGGAGCCAACAUGGGUAUCCAAAUCCUGCUGUUGGUUAUUGACCGGAGAGUCUCGGUCAUGUCUGCAUGUCUCCCGAACCCGUAGGGUCUACACACUUAAGGUUCGGUGACGCUAGGGUUAUCAGGAAGACAAGUAUGUGAUUACCGAAUGUUGUUCGGAGUCCCGGAUGAGAUCCCGGACGUCACGAGGAGUUCCGGAAUGGUCCGGAGGUAAAGUUUUAUAUAUGGGAAGUUGUUAAACGGGCACCGAAAAGUUUCGGGGUCAUACCGGUUUUGUACCGGGACCACCGGAAAGGUACCGGGGGUCCACCGGGAGGGACCACCCCUCCCAGGGGGGCCACUUGGGCUGCGUAGGGAUAGCAGCCAGCCCCUGGUGGGCUUGGCGCCCCCCCCCCUUUGGGCCCAUGCGCCUAGGGUUGGGGGGAAACCCUAAAGGGGGCGCACCCCCCUUGCUUCGGGGGCAAGCCCCCCACCCUUUGGCCGCCGCCCCCCUCUAGGGUUUCCCCUAGAGGGCCGGCCCCCCUUGCCCUCUCCUCCUAUAUAUAGAGGGGUGAGGGGAGGGCUGCAACACGACAACUCAAGGCGCAGCCCCUCCCCUCCCCAACACCUCUCCUCCUCCGUACGUGCUCGGCGAAGCUCUGUCGGAAUACUGCUGCACCAACUGCACCACGCCGUCGUGCUGCCCUUGGAGCUGCCUUCCUCAACCUCUCCUUCCUCCUUGCUGGAUCAAGACGGAGGAGACGUCUCCCGUCCCGUACGUGUGUUGAAUGCGGAGGUGCUGUCCGUUCAGCACUUGGUCAUCGGUGAUCCGAAUCACGACGAGUAUGACUCCAUCAUCACCAUCCCCUUGAACGCUUCCGCACUCGAUCUACAAGUGGUAUGUAGAUGCAAACUCUUCCCCCUUGACUCGUUGCUUAGAUGAACUCAUAGAUGGAUCUUGGUGAAACCGUAGAAAAAAUUUUAAUUUUCUGCAACAUUCCCCAACAGUGGCAUCAUGAGCUAGGUCUAUGCGUAGUUCUCUUUGCACGAGUAGAACACAAUUUUGUUGUGGGCGUGGAUCUUGUAAACUUGCUUGCCUCUACUAGUCUUUUCUUGCUUCAGCGGUAUUGUGGGAUGAAGCGGCCCGGACCAACCUUACACGUACGCUUACGUAAGACCGGUUCCACCGAUUAACAUGCACUAGUUGCAUAAGGUGGCUGGCGGGUGUCUGUCUCUCCCACUUUAGUUGGAGCGGAUUCGAUGAAAAGGGCCCUUAUGAAGGGUAAAUAGAAGUUGACAAAAUCACGUUGUGGUUAUUCGUAGGUAAGAAAACGUUCUUGCUAGAACCCAGUUGCAGCCACGUAAAAGAUGCAACAACAAUUAGAGGACGUCUAACUUGUUUUUGCAGCGAUUGAUCAUGUGAUGUGAUAUGGCCAGAAGUUGUGAUGAAUGAUGAAUUGUGAUGUAUGAGAUCAUGUUCUUGUAAUAGGAUUCACGACUUGCAUGUCGAUGAGUAUGACAACCGGCAGGAGCCAUAGGAGUUGUCUUUAUUUUUGUAUGACCUGCGUGUCAUUGAAGAACGCCAUGUAACUUACUUUACUUUAUUGCUAAACGCGUUAGUCAUAGAAGUAGAAGUAGUCGUUGGCGUGACAACUUCAUGAAGACACGAUGAUGGAGAUCAUGGUGUCAUGUCGGUGACAAGAUGAUCAUGGAGCCCCGAAGAUGGAGAUCAAAGGAGCUAUAUGAUAUUGGCCAUAUCAUGUCACUACUUUAUAUAAUUGCAUGUGAUGUUUAUUAUGUUUUAUGCAUCUUGUUUACUUAGGACGACGGUAGUAAAUAAGAUGAUCCCUUACAAAAUUUCAAGAAGUGUUCUCCCCUAACUGUGCACCGUUGCUACAGUUCGUCGCUUCUAAGCACCACGUGAUGAUCGGGUGUGAUGGAUUCUUACGUUCACAUACAACGGGUGUAAGACAGUUUUACACAGUGAAAACACUUAGGGUUAACUUGACGAGCCUAGCAUGUGCAGACAUGGCCUCGAAACACGGAGACCGAAAGGUCGAACACGAGUCGUAUGGAAGAUACGAUCAACAUGAAGAUGUUCACCGACGAUGACUAGUCCGUCUCACGUGAUGAUCGGACACGGGCUAGUCGACUCGGAUCGUGUAACACUUAGAUGACUAGAGGGAUGUCUAAUAUAAGUGGGAGUUCAUAAUUUGAUUAGAACUUAAUUAUCAUGAACUUAGUCUAAAACCUUUGCAAAUAUGUCUUGUAGAUCAAAUGGCCAACGCUCAUGUCAACAUGAACUUCAACGCGUUCCUAGAGAAAACCAAGCUGAAAGAUGAUGGCAGCAACUAUACGGACUGGGUCCGGAACCUGAGGAUCAUCCUCAUAGCUGCCAGGAAACAAUAUGUCUUAGAAGGACCGCUAGGUGAUGCUCCCGUCCCAGAGAACCAAGACAUUAUGAAUGCUUGGCAGUCUCGUGCUGAUGAUUACUCCCUUGUUCAGUGCAGCAUGCUUUAUAGCUUACAACCGGGGCUCCAAAAGCGUUUUGAGCAUCACGGAGCAUAUGAGAUGUUCGAAGAGCUGAAACUAGUUUUUCAAGCUCACGCCCGGGUCGAGAGAUAUGACAUCUCCGACAAGUUCUAUAGUUGUAAGAUGGAGGAAAAUAGUUCUGUCAGUGAGCACAUACUCAAGAUGUCUGGGUUGCACAACCGUAUGACCCAGCUGAAUAUUAACCUCCCUGAUGAGGCAGUCAUUGACAGAAUCCUUCAGUCGCUCCCACCAAGCUACAAGAGCUUUGUGAUGAACUACAAUAUGCAGGGGAUGGUAAAGACCAUUCCUGAAGUAUUUUCUAUGCUGAAGUCAGCAGAGGUUGAAAUCAAGAAAGAACAUCAAGUGUUGAUGGUCAAUAAGACCACUAAGUUCAAGAAGGGCAAGGGUAAAAAGAACUUCAAGAAGGACGGCAAAGAGGUUGCCGCGCCCGGUAAGCCAGUUGCCGGGAAGAAGCCAAAGUAUGGACCCAAGCCUGAGACUGAGUGCUUUUAUUGCAAGGGGAAGGGUCACUGGAAGCGGAACUGCCCCAAAUACUUAGCGGAUAAGAAGGCCGGCAACACCAAAGGUAUAUUUGAUAUACAUGUAAUUGAUGUGUACCUUACCAGUACUCGUAGUAACUCCUGGGUAUUUGAUACCGGUGCCGUUGCUCAUAUUUGUAACUCACAGCAGGAGCUGCGGAAUAAACGGAGACUGGCGAAGGACGAGGUGACGAUGCGCGUCGGGAAUGGUUCCAGAGUCGAUGUGAUCGCCGUCGGCACGCUGCCUCUACAUUUACCUACGGGAUUAGUUUUGAACCUUAAUAAUUGUUAUUUAGUGCCAAGUUUGAGCAUGAACAUUGUAUCUGGAUCUCGUUUAAUACGAGAUGGCUACUCAUUUAAGUCUGAGAAUAAUGGUUGUUCGAUUUAUAUGAGAGAUAUGUUUUAUGGUCAUGCUCUGAUGGUCAAUGGUCUAUUCUUAAUGAAUCUCGAGCGCAAUAUUACACAUGUUCAUAGUGUAGAUGCCAAAAGAUGUAAAGUUGAUAACGAUAGUCCCACAUACUUGUGGCACUGCCGCCUUGGUCACAUUGGUGUGAAGCGCAUGAAGAAGCUCCAUGCUGAUGGACUUUUAGAGUCUCUUGAUUAUGAAUCAUUUGACACAUGCGAACCAUGCCUCAUGGGAAAAAUGACCAAGACUCCGUUCUCCGGAACAAUGGAGCAAGCAACCAACUUGUUGGAAAUCAUACAUACCGAUGUGUGCGGUCCAAUGAGCGUUGAGGCUCGCGGAGGAUAUCGUUAUGUUCUCACUCUCACUAAUGACUUAAGUAGAUAUGGGUAUGUCUACUUAAUGAAACACAAGUCUGAGACCUUUGAAAAGUUCAAAGAAUUUCAGAAUGAGGUGGAGAAUCAACGUGACCGAAAGAUAAAGUUCCUACGAUCAGAUCAUGGAGGAGAAUAUUUAAGUCACGAAUUUGGCACACACUUAAGGAAAUGUGGAAUCAUUUCACAAUUCACGCCGCCUGGAACACCUCAGCGAAACGGUGUGUCCGAACAUCGUAAUCGCACUCUAUUGGAUAUGGUGCGGUCUAUGAUGUCUCUUACCGAUUUACCGCUAUCAUUUUGGGGAUACGCUCUAGAGACAGCUACAUUCACUUUAAAUAGGGCACCAUCUAAAUCCGUUGAGACGACACCGUAUGAAUUAUGGUUUGGGAAGAAACCUAAGCUGUCGUUUCUAAAAGUUUGGGGAUGCGAUGCUUAUGUCAAGAAACUUCAACCUGAAAAGCUCGAACCCAAGUCGGAAAAAUGCGUCUUCAUAGGAUACCCUAAGAAAACUGUAGGGUAUACCUUCUACUUAAGAUCCGAGGGCAAGAUCUUUGUUGCCAAGAACGGAUGCUUUCUGGAAAAAGAGUUUCUCUCGAAAGAAGUAAGUGGGAGGAAAGUAGAACUCGAUGAAGUACUACCUCUCGAACGGGAAAGUGGUGCAGCUUAGGAAAAUGUUCCUGUGAUGCCCACACCAACUGAAGAGGAAACCAAUGAUGAUGAUCAAGGUACUUCGGAUCAAGUUGCUACUGAACUUCAUAGGUCCACAAGGACACGUUCCGCACCAGAGUGGUACGGCAACCCUAUCCUGGAAAUCAUGUUGUUAGACAACGGUGAACCUUCGAACUAUGAAGAAGUGAUGGCGGGCCCAGAUUCCAACAAACGGCUAGAAGCCAUGAAAUCCGAGAUAGAAUCCAUGUAUGAAAACAAAGUAUGGACUUUGACUGACUUGCCUGAUGAUCGGCGAGCGAUAGAAAACAAAUGGAUCUUUAAGAAGAAGACGGACGCGGAUGGUAAUGUCACCAUCUAUAAAGCUCGACUUGUCGCUAAGGGUUAUCGACAAGUUCAAGGGAUUGACUACGACGAGACAUUCUCUCCCGUAGCGAAGCUUAAGUCCAUCCGGAUCAUGUUAGCAAUUGCCGCAUACUAUGAUUAUGAGAUAUGGCAGAUGGACGUCAAAGCGGCAUUCCUUAACGGGCAUCUUAAGGAAGAGAUGUAUAUGAUGCAGCCGGAAGGUUUUGUCGAUCCUAAGAACUCUAACAAAGUAUGCAAGCUCCAGCGAUCCAUUUAUGGGCUGGUGCAAGCAUCUCAGAGUUGGAAUAUUCGCUUUGAUGAGAUGAUCAAAGCGUUUGGGUUUAUGCAGACUUAUGGAGAAGCCUGCGUUUACAAGAAAGUGAGUGGGAGCUCUGUAGCAUUUCUCAUAUUAUAUGUGGAUGACAUACUCUUGAUGGGAAAUAAUAUAGAAUUUCUGGACAGCAUUAAGGCCUACUUGAACAAAUGUUUUUCAAUGAAGGACCUUGGAGAAGCUGCUUAUAUAUUAGGCAUCAAGAUCUAUAGAGAUAGAUCGAGACGCCUCAUAGGUCUUUCACAAAGCACAUACCUUGAUAAGAUUUUGAAAAAGUUCAAAAUGGAUAAGUCCAAGAAAGGGUUCUUGCCUAUGUUACAAGGUGUGAGAUUGAGCUCAGCUCAGUCACCGACCGCGGCAAAAGAUAAAGAAGAGAUGAGUGUCAUCCCCUAUGCUUCAGCCACAGGAUCUAUUAUGUAUGCCAUGCUGUGUACCAUACCUGAUGUAAACCUUGCAGUAAGUUUGGUAGCAAGAUACCAGAGUAAUCCUGGCAAGGAACACUGGACAGCGGUCAAGAAUAUCCUAAAGUACCUGAAAAGGACAAAGGACAUGUUUCUCGUUUAUGGAGGUGAUGAAGAGCUCGUCGUAAAGGGUUACGUCGAUGCUAGCUUCGACACAGAUCUGGAUGACUCUAAGUCACAAACCGGAUACGUGUAUAUGUUGAAUGGUGGAGCAGUAAGCUGGUGCAGCUGCAAGCAGAGCGUCGUGGCGGGAUCUACAUGUGAAGCGGAGUACAUGGCAGCCUCGGAGGCAGCGCAUGAAGCUAUUUGGGUGCAGGAGUUCAUCACCGACCUAGGAGUCAUACCCAAUGCGUCGGGGCCAAUCAAACUCUUCUGUGACAACACUGGAGCUAUUGCCCUUGCCAAGGAGCCCAGGUUUCACAAGAAGACCAGGCACAUCAAGCGUCGUUUCAACUCCAUCCGUGAAAAUGUUCAAGAUGGAGACAUAGAAAUUUGCAAAGUGUAUACGGAUCUGAAUGUCGCAGAUCCGUUGACUAAACCUCUCUCGCGAGAAAAACAUGAUCAACACCAGAACUCUAUGGGUGUUCGAUUCAUCACAAUGUAACUAGAUUAGUGACUCUAGUGCAAGUGGGAGACUGUUGGAAAUAUGCCCUAGAGGCAAUAAUAAAAGUGUUAUUAUUAUAUUUCUUUGUUCAUGAUAAUAGUCUUUUAUUCAUGCUAUAACUGUGUUAUCCGGAAAUCAUAAUACACAUGUGAAUACAUAGACCACAAUAUGUCCCUAGUGAGCCUCUAGUUGACUAGCUCGUUGUGAUCAACAGAUAGUCAUGGUUUCCUGGCUAUGGACAUUGGAUGUCGUUGAUAACGGGAUCACAUCAUUAGGAGAAUGAUGUGAUGGACAAGACCCAAUCCUAAGCAUAGCACAAAGGUCGGUUAGUUCGUUUGCUAGAGCUUUUCCAAUGUCAAGUAUCUCUUCCUUCGACCAUGAGAUCAUGUAACUCCUGGAUACCGUAGGAAUGCUUUGGGUGUAUCAAACGUCACAACGUAACUGGGUGACUAUAAAGGUGCACUACAGGUAUCUCCGAAAGUGUCUAUUGGGUUGACACGGAUCGAGACUGGGAUUUGUCGCUCCGUAUGACGGAGAGGUAUCUCUGGGCCCACUCGGUAAUGCAUCAUCAUAAUGAGCUCAAGGUGACCAAGGUGUUGGCCACGGGAUCAUGCAUUACGGUACGAGUAAAGUGACUUGCCGGUAACGAGACUGAACAAGGUAUUGGGAUACCGACGAUCGAGUCUCGGGCAAGUACGUACCGAUUGACAAAGGGAAUUGUAUACGGGGUUUGAUCGAAUCCUCGACAUCGUGGUUCAUCCGAUGACUUCAUCGAGGAGCAUGUGGGAGCCAACAUGGGUAUCCAGAUCCCGCUGUUGGUUAUUGACCGGAGAGUCUCGGUCAUGUCUGCAUGUCUCCCGAACCCGUAGGGUCUACACACUUAAGGUUCGGUAACGCUAGGGUUAUUAGGAAGACAAGUAUGUGAUUACCGAAUGUUGUUGGAGUCCCGGAUGAGAUCCCGGACGUCACGAGGAGUUCCGGAAUGGUCCGGAGGUAAAGUUUUAUAUAUGGGAAGUUGUUAAACGGGCACCGGAAAGUUUCGGGGUCAUACCGGUUUUGUACCGGGACCACCGGAAAGGUACCGGGAGGGACCACCCCUCCCGGGGGGGCCACUUGGGCUGCGUAGGGAUAGCAGCCAGCCCCUGGUGGGCUUGGCGCCCCCCCCCCUUUGGGCCCAUGCGCCUAGGGUUGGGGGGAAACCCUAAAGGGGGCGCACCCCCCUUGCUUGGGGGGCAAGCCCCCCACCCUUUGGCCGCCGCCCCCCUCUAGGGUUUCCCCUAGAGGGCCGGCCCCCCUUGCCCUCUCCUCCUAUAUAUUGAGGGGUGAGGGGAGGGCUGCAACACGACAACUCAAGGCGCAGCCCCUUGUUGGGUUUCGUAGUAAUUUCAAAAAAAUUUCCUACGCACACGCAAGAUCAUGUGAUGCAUAGCAACGAGAGGGGAGAGUGUUGUCUACAUACCCUUGUAGACCGUAAGCGGAAGCGUUAGCACAACGCGGUUGAUGUAGUCGUACGUCUUCACGGCCCGACCGAUCAAGCACCGAAACUACGGCACCUCCGAGUUCUAGCACACGUUCAGCUCGAUGACGUCCCUCGAACUCCGAUCCAGCCGAGUGUCGAGGGAGAGUUCCGUCAGCACGACGGCGUGGUGACGAUCUUGAUGUUCUACCGUCGCAGGGCUUCGCCUAAGCACUGCUACGAUAUUAUCGAGGUGGACUAUGGUGGAGGGGGGCACCGCACACGGCUAAGAGAUCCAAGGGAUCAAUUGUUGUGUCUUUGGUGCUAGCCCUGCCCCUCUAUUUAUAUGUUGAGCCCCGGGGUCGAAACUUGGAGCAAAAGCCUCCUCAAAGUCAGUUUUUCCCGAAAGGCAAGAGUCCCACUCGGACUCCAGGACCAAACUCCACAAUCCUUGGCAUCUGGCCCAGACGCCAUGGGCCUCGGCGUCUGGCCCAGGGCCAGACGCCAGGGUCUCCGGCGUUUGGCCCCCUAAACUCCGCAAAACUCCUUUUGCACCGAUCUUAAAGCCUCAUGGGCUUGACCCCUUGGCCUAACCAUAUCAUCCAAUAUAUGAAUCUUUACGUCUCGACCAUUUCGAGACUCCUCGUCAUGUCCCCAAUCUCAUCCGGGACUCCGAACUCCUUCGGUACAUCAAAACAUGUAAACUCAUAAUAUAACUGUCAUCGUAACCUUAAGCGUGCGGACCCUACGGGUUCGAGAACAAUGUAGACAUGACCGAGACAUGUCUCCGGUCAAUAACCAAUAGCGGGACCUAGAUGCCCAUAUUGGCUCCUACAUAUUCUACGAAGAUCUUUAUCGGUCAGACCGCAUAACAACAUACGUUGUUCCCUUUGUCAUCGGUAUGUUACUUGCCCGAGAUUCGAUCGUCGGUAUCCAAUACCUAGUUCAAUCUCGUUACCGGCAAGUCUCUUUACUCGUUCCGUAAUACAUCAUCUCACAACUAACAUAUUAGUUGUAAUGCUUGCAAGGCUUAUGUGAUGUGUAUUACCGAGAGGGCCCAGAGAUACCUCUCCGACAAUCGGAGUGACAAAUCCUAAUCUCGAAAUACGCCAACCCAACAUCGACCAUUGGAGACACCUGUAGUACUCCUUUAUAAUCACCCAGUUACGUUGUGACGUUUGGUAGUACCCAAAGUGUUCCUCUGGUAAACGGGAGUUGCAUAAUCUCAUAGUCAUAGGAACAUGUAUAAGUCAUGAAGAAAGCAAUAGCAACAUACUAAACGAUCGGGUGCUAAGCUAAUGGAAUGGGUCAUGUCAAUCAGAUCAUUCAACUAAUGAUGUGACCUCGUUAAUCAAAUAACAACUCAUUGUUCAUGGUCAGGAAACAUAACCAUCUUUGAUUAACGAGCUAGUCAAGUAGAGGCAUACUAGUGACACUUUGUUUGUCUAUGUAUUCACACAUGUAUUAUGUUUCCGGUUAAUACAAUUCUAGCAUGAAUAAUAAACAUUUAUCAUGAAAUAAGGAAAUAAAUAAUAACUUUAUUAUUGCCUCUAGGGCAUAUUUCCUUCAGUCUCCCACUUGCACUAGAGUCAAUAAUCUAGUUCACAUCGCCAUGUGAUUUAACAGCAAUAGUUUACAUCACCAUGUGAUUAACACCCAUAGUUCACAUCGAUAUGUGAUCAACACCCAAAGGGUUUUACUAGAUUCAGUCAUCUAGUUCACAUUGCUAUGUGAUUAACACCCAAGGAGUACUAAGGUGCGAUCAUGUUUUGCUUGUGAGAGAAUCUUAGUCAACGGGUCUGUCAGAUUCAGAUCCGUAAGUAUUUUGCAAAUAUUUAUGUCAACAAUGCUCUGCACGGAGCUACUCUAGCUAAUUGCUCCCACUUUCAGUAUGUAUCUAGACCGAGACUUAGAGUCAUCUAGAUUAGUGUCAAACUUGCAUCGGCGUAACCCUUUACGACGAACCUUUUUCCACUUCCAUAAUCGAGAAACAUAUCCUUAUUUCACUAAGGAUAAUUUUGACCGCUGUCCAGUGAUCUACUCCUAGAUCACUAUUGUACUCCCUUGCCAAACUCAGUGGUAGGGCAUACAAUAGAUCUGGUAUACAGCAUGGCAUACUUUAUAGAACCUAUGACUGAGGCAUAGGGAAUGACUUUCAUUCUCUUUCUAUUUUCUGCCGUGGUCGGGCUUUGAGUCUUACUCAACUUCACACCUUGUAACACAGGCAAGAACUCUUUCUUUGACUGUUCCAUUUUGAACUACUUCAAAAUCUUGUCAAGGUAUGUACUCAUUGGAAAAACUUAUCAAGCGUCUUGAUCUAUCUCUAUAAAUCUUGAUACUCAAUAUGUAAGCAGCUUUACCGAAGUCUUUAUUUGAAAAAACUCCUUUCAAACACUCCUUUAUGCUUUACAGAAUAAUUCUACAUUAUUUCCGAUCAACAAUAUGUCAUUCACAUAUACUUUAUCAGAAAUGCUGUAGUGCUCCCACUCACUUUCUUGUAAAUACAGGCUUCUCCGAAAGUCUGUAUAAAACCAAAUGCUUUGAUCACACUAUCAAAACGUUUAUUCCAACUCCGAGAGGCUUGCACCAGUCCAUAAAUGGAUCGCUGGAGCUUGCACACUUUGUUAGCUCCCUUUGGAUCGACAAAACCUUCUGGUUGCAUCAUAUACAACUCUUCUUCCAGAAAUCCAUUCAGGAAUGCAGUUUUGACAUCCAUCUGCCAAAUUUCAUAAUCAUAAAAUGCGGCAAUCGCUAACAUGAUUCGGACGGACUUAAGCAUCGCUACGGGUGAGAAGGUCUCAUCGUAGUCAAUCCCUUGAACUUGUCGAAAACCUUUUGCGACAAGUCGAGCUUUGUAGACAGUAACAUUACCAUCAGCGUCAAUCUUCUUCUUAAAGAUCCAUUUAUUCUCAAUUGCUUGCCGAUCAUCGGGCAAGUCAACCAAAGUCCAUACUUUGUUCUCAUACAUGGAUCCCAUCUCAGAUUUCAUGGCUUCAAGCCACUUUGCGGAAUCUGGGCUCACCAUCGCUUCUUCAUAGUUCGUAGGUUCAUCAUGAUCUAGUAGCAUGACUUCCAGAACAGGAUUUCCGUACCACUCUGGCGCGGAUCUUACUCUGGUUGAUCUACGUGGUUCAGUAGUAUCUUGAUCUGAAGUUUCAUGAUCAUUAUCAUUGGCUUCCUCACUAACCGGUGUAGGUGUCACUGAAACAGUUUUCUGUGAUGAACUACUUUCCAGUAAGGGAGCAGGUACAGUUACCUCGUCAAGUUCUACUUUCCUCCCACUCACUUCUUUCGAGAGAAACUCCUUCUCUAGAAAUGAUCCAUUCUUAGCAACGAAUGUUUUGCCUUCGGAUCUGUGAUAGAAGGUGUACCCAACAGUUUCCUUUGGGUAUCCUAUGAAGACACAUUUCUCCGAUUUGGGUUCGAGCUUAUCAGUUUGAAGUUUUUUCACAUAAGCAUCGCAGCCCCAAACUUUAAGAAACGACAACUUUGGUUUCUUGCCAAACCACAGUUCAUAAGGCGUCGUGGCAGGGGGCAGGGGGCACCGCACACGGCUAAGGAAUUGAUCACGUGGAUCAACUUGUGUCAACUUGUGUGUUUAGAGGUGCCCCUGCCUCAGUAUAUAAAGGAGCCAAGGGGGGAGGGUGCGCCGGCCAGGAGGAGGAGGCGCAGGAGGAGUCCUACUCCUACCGGGAGUAGGACUCCCCUCCAAUCCUAUUCCAAUUAGGAUUCCCAAGGGGGAAAGAGGGAGAGGGGUGGCCGGCCACCUCUCCUAGUCCUAAUAGGACUAGGGGAAGGGGGGAGGCGCGCAGCCCCCUUGGGCUGCCCUUUUCUCCUUUCCACUAAGGCCCAUGAAGGCCCAUGUGGUUCCCGGGGGGUUCCGGUAACCUCCCGGUAACCCGGUAAAAUCCCGAUUUCACCCGGAACACUUCCGAUGUCCAAACAUAGGCUUCCAAUAUAUCAAUCUUUAUGUCUCGACCAUUUCGAGACUCCUCGUCAUGUCCGUGAUCACAUCCGGGACUCCGAACAACCUUCGGUACAUCAAAAUGCAUAAACUCAUAAUAUAACUGUCAUCGUAACCUUAAGCGUGCGGACCCUACGGGUUCGAGAACAAUGUAGACAUGACCGAGACAUGUCUCUGGUCAAUAACCAAUAGCGGGACCUGGAUGCCCAUAUUGGCUCCUACAUAUUCUACGAAGAUAUUUAUCGGUCAGACCGCAUAACAACAUACGUUGUUCCCUUUGUCAUCGGUAUGUUACUUGCCCGAGAUUCGAUCGUCGGUAUCCAAUACCUAGUUCAAUCUCGUUACCGGCAAGUCUCUUUACUCGUUCCGUAAUACAUCAUCUCACAACUAACAUAUUAGUUGUAAUGCUUGCAAGGCUUAUGUGAUGUGUAUUACCGAGAGGGCCCAGAGAUACCUCUCCGACAAUCGGAGUGACAAAUCCUAAUCUCGAAAUACGCCAACCCAACAUCGACCAUUGGAGACACCUGUAGUACUCCUUUAUAAUCACCCAGUUACGUUGUGACGUUUGGUAGUACCCAAAGUGUUCCUCCGGUAAACGGGAGUUGCAUAAUCUCAUAAUAUAACUGUCAUCGUAACCUUAAGCGUGCGGACCCUACGGGUUCGAGAACAAUGUAGACAUGACCGAGACACGUCUCCGGUCAAUAACCAAUAGCGGGACCUGGAUGCCCAUAUUGGCUCCUACAUAUUCUACGAAGAUCUUUAUCGGUCAGACCGCAUAACAACAUACGUUGUUCCCUUUGUCAUCGGUAUGUUACUUGCCCGAGAUUCGAUCGUCGGUAUCCAAUACCUAGUUCAAUCUCGUUACCGGCAAGUCUCUUUACUCGUUCCGUAAUACAUCAUCUCCCAACUAACAUAUUAGUUGUAAUGCUUGCAAGGCUUAUGUGAUGUGUAUUACCGAGAGGGCCCAGAGAUACCUCUCCGACAAUCGGAGUGACAAAUCCUAAUCUCGAAAUACGCCAACCCAACAUCGACCAUUGGAGACACCUGUAGUACUCCUUUAUAAUCACCCAGUUACGUUGUGACGUUUGGUAGUACCCAAAGUGUUCCUCCGGUAAACGGGAGUUGCAUAAUCUCAUAGUCAUAGGAACAUGUAUAAGUCAUGAAGAAAGCAAUAGCAACAUACUAAACGAUCGGGUGCUAAGCUAAUGGAAUGGGUCAUGUCAAUCAGAUCAUUCUACUAAUGAUGUGACCUCGUUAAUCAAAUAACAACUCAUUGUUCAUGGUUAGGAAACAUAACCAUCUUUGAUUAACGAGCUAGUCAAGUAGAGGCAUACUAGUGACACUUUGUUUGUCUAUAUAUUCACACAUGUAUUAUGUUUCUGGUAAAUACAAUUCUAGCAUGAAUAAUAAACAUUUAUCAUGAUUAUAAGGAAAUAAAUAAUAACUUUAUUAUUGCCUCUAGGGCAUAUUUCCUUCAGUCUCCCACUUGCACUAGAGUCAAUAAUCUAGUUCACAUCGUCAUGUGAUUUAACACCAAUAUUCAUAUCUGUAUAUGAUUAACACCCAUAGUUCACAUCAUCAUGUGACCAACACCCAAAGGGUUUACUAGAGUCAAUAAUCUAGUUCACAUCGCUAUGUGAUUAACAUCCAAAGAGUACUAAGGUGUGAUCAUGUUUUGCUCGUGAGAGAAGCUUAGUCAACGGGUCUGUCACAUUCAGAGCCGUAUGUAUUUUGCAAAUAUUCUAUGUCUACAAUGCUCUGUACGGAGCUACUCUAGCUAAUCGCUCCCACUUUCAAUAUGUAUCCAGAUUGAGACUUAGAGUCAUCUGGAUCAGUGUAAAAGUUUGCACUGAUGUAACUUUUACAACAAACUCUUUUAUCACCUCCAUAAUCGAGAAACAUCUCCUUAGUCCUUACUAAGGAUAUUCUUGACCAAUGUCCAGUGAUCUACUCCUAGAUCACUAUUGUACUCCCUUGCUAAAUACAGAGCAAGGUAUACAAUAGGUCUGGUACAAAGCAUAGCAUACUUUAUAGAACCUAUGACUGAGGCAUAGGGAAUGACUUUUCAUUCUCUUUCUAUUUUCUGCUGUGGUCGGGAUUUGAGUCUUACUCAAUUUCAUACCUUUGCAACACAGGCAAGAACUCUUUCUUUAACUGUUCCAUUUUGAGCUAUUUCAAAAUCUUGCCAAGGUAUGUACUCAUUGAAAAUCUUAUCAAGCGUCUUGAUCUAUCUCAAUAGAUCUUGAUGCUCAAUAUAUAAGCAGCUUCACCGAGGUCUUUCAUUGAAAAACUUUUAUUCAAGUAUCCCUUUAUGCUAUCCAGAAAUUCUAUAUCAUUUCCAAUCAGUAAUAUGUCAUCCACAUAUAAUAUCAGAAAUGCUACAGAGCUCCCACUCACUUUCUUGUAAAUACAGGCUUCUCCGAAAGUCUGUAUAAAACCAAAUGCUUUGAUCACACUAUCAAAACGUUUAUUCCAACUCCGAGAGGCUUGCACCAGUCCAUAAAUGGAUCGCUGGAGCUUGCACACUUUGUUAGCUCCCUUUGGAUCGACAAAACCUUCCGGUUGCAUCAUAUACAACUCUUCUUCCAGAAAUCCAUUCAGGAAUGCAGUUUUGACAUCCAUCUGCCAAAUUUCAUAAUCAUAAAAUGCGGCAAUCGCUAACAUGAUUCGGACGGACUUAAGCAUCGCUACGGGUGAGAAGGUCUCAUCGUAGUCAAUCCCUUGAACUUGCCAAAAACCUUUUGCGACAAGUCGAGCUUUGUAGACAGUAACAUUACCAUCAGCGUCAGUCUUCUUCUUAAAGAUCCAUUUAUUCUCAAUUGCUUGCCGAUCAUCGGGCAAGUCAACCGAAGUCCAUACUUUGUUCUCAUACAUGGAUCCCAUCUCAGAUUUCAUGGCUUCAAGCCACUUUGCGGAAUCUGGGCUCACCAUCGCUUCUUCAUAGUUCGUAGGUUCAUCAUGAUCUAGUAGCAUGACUUCCAGAACAGGAUUACCGUACCACUCUGGCGCAGAUCUUACUCUGGUUGAUCUACGAGGUUCAGUAGUAUCUUGAUCUGAAGUUUCAUGAUCAUUAUCAUUGGCUUCCUCACUAACUGGUGUAGGUGUCACUGAAACAGUUUUCUGUGAUGAACUACUUUCCAGUAAGGGAGCAGGUACAGUUACCUCGUCAAGUUCUACUUUCCUCCCACUCACUUCUUUCGAGAGAAACUCCUUCUCUAGAAAUGAUCCAUUCUUAGCAACGAAUGUCUUGCCUUCGGAUCUGUGAUAGAUGGUGUACCCAACAGUUUCCUUUGGGUAUCCUAUGAAGACACAUUUCUCCGAUUUGGGUUCGAGCUUAUCAGGUUGAAGUUUUUUCACAUAAGCAUCGCAGCCCCAAACUUUAAGAAACGACAACUUUGGUUUCUUGCCAAACCACAGUUCAUAAGGAGUCGUCUCAACGGAUUUUGAUGGUGCCCUAUUUAACGUGAAUGCGGCCGUCUCUAAAGCACAACCCCAAAAUGAUAGCGGUAAAUCUGUAAUAGACAUCAUAGAUCGCACCAUAUCUAGUAAAGUACGAUUACAAUGUUCGGACACACCAUUGCGCUGUGGUGUUCCGGGUGGCGUGAGUUGUGAAACUAUUCCACAGUUUUUCAAAUGUACACCAAACUCGUAACUCAAAUAUUCUCCUCCAUGAUCAGAUCGUAGAAACUUUAUUUUCUUGUUACGAUGAUUUUCAACUUCACUCUGAAAUUCUUUGAACUUUUCAAAUGUUUCAGACUUAUGCUUCAUUAAGUAGAUAUAUCCAUAUCUGCUCAAAUCAUCUGUGAAGGUGAGAAAAUAACGAUAUCCGCCUCGAGCCUCAAUAUUCAUUGGACCACAUACAUCGGUAUGUAUGAUUUCCAACAAAUCUGUUGCUCUCUCCAUAGUACCGGAGAACGGUGUUUUAGUCAUCUUGCCCAUGAGGCACGGUUCGCAAGUACCAAGUGAUUCAUAAUCAAGUGGUUCCAAAAGUCCAUCAGCAUGGAGUUUCUUCAUGCGCUUUAUACCGAUAUGACCUAAACGACAGUGCCACAAAUAAGUUGCACUUUCAUUAUCAACUCUGCAUCUUUUGGCUUCAACAUUAUGAAUAUUUGUAUUACUACUAUCGAGAUUCAAUAAGAAUAGACCACUCUUCAAGGGUGCAUGACCAUAAAAGAUAUUACUCAUAUAAAUAGAACAACCAUUAUUCUCUGAUUUAAAUGAAUAACCGUCUCGCAUUAAACAAGAUCCAGAUAUAAUGUUCAUGCUCAACGCUGGCACCAAAUAACAAUUACUUAGGUCUAAUAUUAAUCCCGAAGGUAGAUGUAGAGGUAGCGUGCCGACUGCGAUCACAUCGACUUUGGAACCGUUUCCCACGCGCAUCGUCACCUCGUCCUUAGCCAAUCUUCGCUUAAUCCGUAGCCCCUGUUUCGAGUUGCAAAUAUUAGCAACAGAACCAGUAUCAAAUACCCAGGUGCUACUGCGAGCAUUGGUAAGGUACACAUCAAUAACAUGUAUAUCACAUAUACCUUUGUUUCCCUUGCCAUCCUUCUUAUCCGCCAAAUACUUGGGGCAGUUCCGCUUCCAGUGACCAGUCUGCUUGCAGCAGAAGCACUCAGUUUCAGGCUUAGAUCCAGACUUGGGUUUCUUCUCUUGAGCAGCAACUGGUUUGCUGUUCUUCUUGAAGUUCCCUUUCUUCUUUCCUUUGCCCUUUUUCUUGAAACUAGUGGUUUUGUUAACCAUCAACACUUGAUGCUCCUUUUUGAUUUCUACCUCCGCAGCUUUCAGCAUUGCGAAGAGCUCGGGAAUAGUCUUGUUCAUCCCUUGCAUAUUGUAGUUCAUCACGAAGCUCUUGUAGCUUGGUGGCAGUGAUUGGAGAAUUCUGUCAAUGACGCAAUCAUCCGGAAGAUUAACUCCCAAUUGAAUCAAGUGAUUAUUAUACCCAGACAUUUUGAGUAUAUGCUCACUGACAGAACUGUUCUCCUCCAUCUUGCAGCUAUAGAACUUAUUGGAGACUUCAUAUCUCUCAAUUCGGGCAUUUGCUUGAAAUAUUAACUUCAACUCCUGGAACAUCUCAUAUGCUCCAUGACGUUCAAAACGUCGUUGAAGUCCCGAUUCUAAGCCGUAAAGCAUGGCACACUGAACUAUCGAGUAGUCAUCAGCUUUGCUCUGCCAGAUGUUCACAACAUCUGGUGUUGCUCCAGCAGCAGGCCUGGCACCCAGCGGUGCUUCCAGGACGUAAUUCUUCUGUGCAGCAAUGAGGAUAAUCCUCAAGUUACGGACCCAGUCCGUGUAAUUGCUACCAUCAUCUUUCAACUUUGCUUUCUCAAGGAACGCAUUAAAAUUCAACGGAACAACAGCACGAGCCAUCUAUCUACAAUCAACAUAAACAAGCAAGAUACUUUCAGGGACUAAGUUCAUGAUAAAUUUUAAGUUCAAUUAAUCAUAUUACUAAAGAACUCCCACUUAGAUAGACAUCCCUCUAAUCCUCUAAGUGAUCACGUGAUCCAAAUCAACUAAACCAUGUCCGAUCAUCACGUGAGAUGGAGUAGUUUCAUCGGUGAACAUCAUUAUGUUGAUCAUAUCUACUAUAUGAUUCACGCUCGACCUUUCGGUCUCCGUGUUCCGAGGCCAUAUCUGUAUAUGCUAGGCUCGUCAAGUUUAACCUGAGUAUUCUGCGUGCGCAACUGUUUUGCACCCGUUGUAUUUGAACGUAGAGCCUAUCACACCCGAUCAUCACGUGGUGUCUCAGCACAAAGAACUUUCGCAAUGGUGCAUACUCAGGGAGAACACUUCUUGAUAAUUUAGUGAGAGAUCAUCUUAUAAUGCUACCGUCAAUCAAAGCAAGAUAAGAUGCAUAAAAAGAUAAACAUCACAUGCAAUCAAUAUAAGUGAUAUGAUAUGGCCAUCAUCAUCUUGUGCUUGUGAUCUCCAUCUCCGAAGCACCGUCAUGAUCACCAUCGUCACCGGCGCGACACCUUGAUCUCCAUCGUAGCAUCGUUGUCGUCUCGCCAAUCUUAUGCUUCCACGACUAUCACUACCGUUUAGUAAUAAAGUAAAGCAUUACAUCGCGAUUGUAUUGCAUACAAUAAAGCGACAACCAUAUGGCUCCUGCCAGUUGCCGAUAACUCGGUUACAAAACAUGAUCAUCUCAUACAAUAAAAUUCAGCAUCAUGCUUUGACCAUAUCACAUCACAACAUGCCCUGCAAAAACAAGUUAGACGUCCUCUACUUUGUUGUUGCAUGUUUUACGUGGCUGCUACAGGCUUAAGUAAGAACCAAUCUCACCUACGCAUCAAAACCACAACGAUAGUUUGUCAAAUAGACUCCGUUUUAACCUUCGCAAGGACCGGGCGUAGCCAUACUUGGUUCAACUAAAGUUGGAGAGACAGUCGCCCGCAAGCCAUCUCUGUGCAAAGCACGUCGAGGGAACCGGUCUCGCAUAAGCGUACGCGUAAGGUUGGUCCGGGUCGUCUCGUCCAACAAUACCGCCGAACCAAAGUAUGACAUGCUGGUAGGCAGUAUGACUUGUAUCGUCCACAACUUACUUGUGUUCUACUCGUGCAUAUAACAUCAACAUAAAUAACCUGGCUCGGAUGCCACUGUUGAGUUUCGUAGUAAUUUCAAAAAAAAUUCCUACGCACACGCAAGAUCAUGUGAUGCAUAGCAACGAGAGGGGAGAGUGUUGUCUACAUACCCUUGUAGACCGUAAGCGGAAGCGUUAGCACAACGCGGUUGAUGUAGUCGUACGUCUUCACGGCCCGACCGAUCAAGCACCGAAACUACGGCACCUCCGAGUUCUAGCACACGUUCAGCUCGAUGACGUCCCUCGAACUCCGAUCCAGCCGAGUGUCGAGGGAGAGUUCCGUCAGCACGACGGCGUGGUGACGAUCUUGAUGUUCUACCGUCGCAGGGCUUCGCCUAAGCACCGCUACGAUAUUAUCGAGGUGGACUAUGGUGGAGGGGGGCACCGCACACGGCUAAGAGAUCCAAGGGAUCAAUUGUUGUGUCUUUGGUGCUAACCCUGCCCCUCUAUUUAUAUGUUGAGCCCCGGGGUCGAAACUUGGAGCAAAAGCCUCCUCAAAGUCGGUUUUUCCCGAAAGGCAAGAGUCCCACUCGGACUCCAGGACCAAACGCCACAAUCCUUGGCGUCUGGCCCAGACGCCAGGGUCUCCGGCGUUUGGCCCCCUGAACUCCGCAAAACUCCUUUUGCACCGAUCUUAAAGCCUCAUGGGCUUGACCCCUUGGCCUAACCAUAUCAUCCAAUAUAUGAAUCUUUACGUCUCGACCAUUUCGAGACUCCUCGUCAUGUCCCCAAUCUCAUCCGGGACUCCGAACUCCUUCGGUACAUCAAAACAUGUAAACUCAUAAUAUAACUGUCAUCGUAACCUUAAGCGUGCGGACCCUACGGGUUCGAGAACAAUGUAGACAUGACCGAGACACGUCUCCGGUCAAUAACCAAUAGCGGGACCUAGAUGCCCAUAUUGGCUCCUACAUAUUCUACGAAGAUCUUUAUCGGUCAGACCGCAUAACAACAUACGUUGUUCCCUUUGUCAUCGGUAUGUUACUUGCCCGAGAUUCGAUCGUCGGUAUCCAAUACCUAGUUCAAUCUCGUUACCGGCAAGUCUCUUUACUCGUUCCGUAAUACAUCAUCUUACAACUAACAUAUUAGUUGUAAUGCUUGCAAGGCUUAUGUGAUGUGUAUUACCGAGAGGGCCCAGAGAUACCUCUCCGACAAUCAGAGUGACAAAUCCUAAUCUCGAAAUACGCCAACCCAACAUCGACCAUUGGAGACACCUGUAGUACUCCUUUAUAAUCACCCAGUUACGUUGUGACGUUUGGUAGUACCCAAAGUGUUCCUCCGGUAAACGGGAGUUGCAUAAUCUCAUAGUCAUAGAAACAUGUAUAAGUCAUGAAGAAAGCAAUAGCAACAUACUAAACGAUCGGGUGCUAAGCUAAUGGAAUGGGUCAUGUCAAUCAGAUCAUUCUACUAAUGAUGUGACCUCGUUAAUCAAAUAACAACUCAUUGUUCAUGGUUAGGAAACAUAACCAUCUUUGAUUAACGAGCUAGUCAAGUAGAGGCAUACUAGUGACACUUUGUUUGUCUAUGUAUUCACACAUGUAUUAUGUUUCCGGUAAAUACAAUUCUAGCAUGAAUAAUAAACAUUUAUCAUGAUUAUAAGGAAAUAAAUAAUAACUUUAUUAUUGCCUCUAGGGCAUAUUUCCUUCACCCCUCCCCUCCCCAACACCUCUCCUCCUCCGUACAUGCUCGGCGAAGCUCUGUCGGAAUACUGCUGCACCAACUGCACCACGCCGUCGUGCUGCCCUUGGAGCUGCCUUCCUCAACCUCUCCUUCCUCCUUGCUGGAUCAAGAUGGAGGAGACGUCUCCCGUCCCGUACGUGUGUUGAACGCGGAGGUGCUGUCCGUUCAGCACUUGGUCAUCGGUGAUCCGAAUCACGACGAGUACGACUCCAUCAUCACCAUCCCCUUGAACGCUUCCGCACUCGAUCUACAAGUGGUAUGUAGAUGCAAACUCUUCCCCCUUGACUCAUUGCUUAGAUGAACUCAUAGAUGGAUCUUGGUGAAACCGUAGAAAAAAUUUUAAUUUUCUGCAACGUUCCCCAACAGAUCGGUAGGGGGAAGAUCUUCGCGCGCACCCCAGAGUUCGAACCUUAAGGGUUUUGCUGGAACCCGAUAUCCGACAGUAUGAUAAUGGGUGGCCCUUUGAUCUUAACUAUAUUAAAAAUCCAAUUAUUGGCAUAUCUGUUGAAAAUACCAGUUUUUCAAUAAUAAACUCUUCUCACUGACUUUUGGUUUUCAAUCAUGUGCAAUUACAAGGUGCACCAUGCAGUAAUUCGUUCGCGUUCCAAAAAGUUAAAUUCUUAUAUAUGUCCAAACUACAUUAAUUAGCUGUCUGCUUGUAUGUACUAUUUUGUGUCUGGUUUUCGUUUCUUACAUGCAUACAAUGUAAUAUGAACAAUGUGAAUUUUAUGAUGUGUUGCAACAAUCUACAAUUUUCAAUCAAUUAUAUGAUUCGGUUCCAAAAAUGGACGGGUGCAGCAACGCAUGCCUACAUGUUCUAGUGCAUUGUGAACAUUAGUUGCUAAACUUUUUAAUGUGCUUAGCACCUCAUCUAAGCACCUAUGCACGACACAAAGUACCAACAAGUGUAAUGUUUUUGCGGGUGAAGCACUCGCAACCUGCAAAAAAGAAUCUGACACAUUGCGGGGCAUCACCUCCUGACAUGCGAGUCUACAUGCGAUAUAUAUGGGGCAGCAGCUUGAAGACAUGCCUUUAGAUAGUCUUUUCUUUUUUUUUUGAACCGGGCGCAACCCCUUUCCAUUACUUUCAUAACGGAAAUACAACAGUUCAACAACUACCCAGGAGACCAAAGAAAGGGGAACGCGAGUUCAAGCAUCCCUGGGAAACCCACGAUGAACACCCGUCAUCGGGCAGUUCACCGCGGGGGAAAACCCAGUGACACCAACAAAACUACUACACGCACAUAAAAACAACAGGCUGAUCAAAGUUUUAUGCUCACGCAGGAGCUGAAUACCACACACCCCACCAGAUACCAGGAACCCAAAAGGUAAAUCCGAGACAGAUGAACCGCGAUCAGGAGGAAACGGGAUGUAGCAGUGCAUCUCUUCUGCCAUCCGCAUCUUUCAGUUGCAUCCUCCCCCUGGCGCCGCGCAGAUACGCAUCAUGUUCGAGGCGUUGAUCCUCAGCAUCUUAGCUCCACGCUCCAUUGCUUCCCGAUCUUCGCCCCUCAUCAGACCUGCCCAAUAUGUGAUGUAACCACAAGCAACAUAAAUCACGUUAAAAGGGGACCCCAACUUCUUGAAUUCAAACGUGGUUCUGUUCCGGCAAUUCCACAUUGCCCAGCAAAGGGCAGCUAAGCCAAAAGUAUAGAAUUUCUCUCCCUCUGGAAAGAAGCUAUAGCGCCAGGAAAAAUAUUGCCAAAUGUUAUUCGGACAGCAGUCCGUGCCCAACACGCAUCCAACAGUCCUCCACAUGACCCUAGCAACCGGGCAUGUGAAGAAGAGAUGUUGGGGUGUCUCCCUGUUAUCACAAAAGGAACAGGAGGGAUUCCCUAGCCAAUUUCGCCUCCUCAUCACAUCCCUGGUCAGAAUAGAAUCUUGAAAAAGUUGCCACAAGAAAAUUUGAAUCUUAAGCGGGAUUUUGGCUUGCCAAAUCCACUUGUAGUUACACCCAGCCAAGUUUCGUUCCAGGUAUUCAUAUAUGGAUUUGGUAGAGAAUUUGUUCUUUCUCCCCAAGGACCACACAAUUUGGUCAGGUUCGUUAGAGAUCGGCCAUAGGGAUACCACAUUACUCAUAUUCCUCCACUGCUCCAGCAAGGGAGGAUGGAGGCGCCUUCGAAAAAAGUUAUCAUCUACACCAUUCUUAAACUUAGCGACCGUGAUCCCUUGAUCGUUACAGAUGUUGUAAAGCUCAGGAAAUUUGACACGAAAGGGAGUUUCACCGUCGAUACAAUCAUCCCACACUCUGGCCAAGUUACCAGAUUUCAAUACCACCUUUCUACCCGCCAGGUAGUGUUCUUUGACUUUCAUAAUAGAUUUCCAAAUAGGGGAGUCUCCAAAUUUAGUCUUAACCGAGACCACCGUAUCUUUUUUGAGGUAUUUAGCACGGAUAACGUCUUGCCACAACCCUUGCUGUGUUUCCAGCUUCCACCACCACUUGGUCAGAAGGCUAAUGUUUUGUUUAUGCAAGUCUUUCACCCCCAGGCCUCCUUUAUCCUUGGAGCGGCAGAUUCUAGACCAUUUAACCAAGUGAUAUCGCUUUCUACCCUCAUGUUCUUGCCAGAAGAAGCGUUUACGGUGCUUAUCAAGUUUCCCAAUCACCUUUUUCGAGAGAAGAAACAUAGACAUAUAAUAAAAUACUAUACUGGUUAGAGAUGCAUUAAGGAGAAUCAAACGACCCCCCGAGGAGGCUGCAUUCCCUAUCCAGGUUUCACAGCAUUUGAGAAAUCUCUCAUCUAAGAAAUCCCAGUCUAAACUACGCAACAUGGAGUAGCUGACUGGCACCCCCAAGUACUUCAUGGGGAAGUGUCCAAUGCUGCAGUUAAACAGCUCGGAGUAAAAGGCAAUUGUCUCAUCAUCUCCUCCAACACAAAGGAUCUCACUUUUCAUGUAAUUAAUUUUCAGGCCUGACAUAAGCUCAAACAUGUACAAAAGAAGUUUAAGGUUUAUAGCUGCAUCUUUAUCAUGUUCGAAGCAUAUGACCGUGUCAUCCGCAUACUGUAAUAUUGCCACCCCACCCUCUAUCAGGUCUGGGGCUAGCCCAGUAAGCAGUUUUUCUUUCUGAGCAUUGAGUAUCAUUUUCGAAAGGGUUUCUACAGCAAUAUUGAACAAGAAGAGGGAGUGGGGAUCACCUUGACGUACCCCUUUGUGACUUUGGAAGUAAGGCCCAUUCUCAUUAUUGAGUUUAAUACUCAGGGUGCCAUUCCUAAGAAUCUUAUCCACCCACCCACACCAGGUAGGCCCAAAACCCCGAUUGCGAUGACAUUCGAUAAGGAAGUCCCAAUUUAUCUUGUCAUACGCCUUUUCAAAGUCCAAUUUUAACACCACACCAACUUUCUUCUUAUGGUGUGUGUGAUGCAGCACUUCAUGCAACGUAAGGAUCCCAUCCAUAAUGUUCCUAUGUUUGAUAAAGGCAUUUUGGUGUUUACUAAUCAGCUUGUCAGCAAAGAUGGCCACCCUAUUGUCCAAGACCUUAGUAAUGAGCUUAUAGGGGCAUCUAAGCAGGCAGAUAGGGCAAUAUUGCUGAAUUUUCUUGGCCCCAUUCAGCUUGGGAAUCAAGGUGAUAAUGCCAUAAUCCAGUCGUGCUACAUCCAGGGUAUUGUUAUGAAAGGCUUCAAACAACCGCAUUAUAUCUUUUUUGACGAAGUCCCAGCAGUGUUUAUAAAAUUCCGCCGGGAUAUUGUCAGGUCCAGGGGCCCUAUUACUUUUCAUAUCAAAUAAGGCCUUUUUUACUUCUUCUGUGAACACACUUGUUAGGAUGAGAUUAUCAUCUUCAGUAAGCUUUUCAUCAUUAGACCAGGUUUCUGGGGAGAGGUGGAACAAAUUUCCACUGGCUGGACCAAACAAUUCUUUGUAAUAGGAAGUGGCAUGAGCCAAGAGCUCCUUUGUACCUUCUAUAACCACAUCCCCAUUAGUGAGCGAGUGAAUGGUGUUUUUCCUCUUUUUUCCAUUAGCUAUACGAUGAAAAUAGGCUGUAUUGUGAUCCCCUUUGAGCAGCCAUCGCUCAUUCGAGUGCUGAAGCCAAAACAGCUCUUCUUCAGCAAGGAUCUCAUUAAGCUCUGCGCACAAGAUGGUCCUUUUCUCAUAAGUUUCAGAAUCCAGGGGGCCACAUUCCUCCAAUUUUUCUAUCUCUUCCAGUUCUUUUUUAACCUCUUUCUUCCUUUUUCUGGCAUGGCCGAAAAGAUGUGAGCCCCAGCCUUUAAAGUAUUUUUUGAUACGCUUUAGUUUUAUAUAUAGAACAUCAAUAGGGUCCUCAGAUUGCACAGGUUGUUCCCAAAUGUUCUUAGCUUUUUCGUAAAAAUCCUCAUUCUUUAGCCAGCUGAGUUCAAAUAUGAACUCACGUUGGCGCAUGGGACUCCUAUUCAGGGGGUUAGUCAUCAACAGCAACGGGUUGUGAUCAGAAAUAUCUCUCACUAGUUUACGAACUGCAACCAGUGGGAAUAGACUCUCCCAAUCAAAGCUCAUGAGCACUCUAUCGAGUUUCUCGAGCGUGGGAUGUCUCUGUUUAUUGGACCACGUGAAUCUGCCUCCUCCCAUGUGAAUCUCUCUAAGGUUUAACGCCUGGAUGAUAGUGUUAAAUCUGUCCAUAUGAUGCGACCUAUGGAGAGACUUGUUCUUAUCACUACCAUCCCUUAAAAUGUUAAAAUCCCCGCCAAUUACAUAGGGUGUUUUAAUAUUGCUGCACACCGAAGCAAGCUCAUCUAGGAACUCGUCUCUCUUAUCCUCUUGAGCUGCCCCAUAAACCACCACAAGGGUCCAAACACACUUGAGCUUAGUGUCAUAGACCGUGGCUUGUAACAUAUAUUUCCCUGCCUCCCAAGAUAUAUUUUCCAAGGUUUCUUUUUUGAUCCCACAAAGGAUGCCACCAGAUUUACCAGUGGAAGGAAUCCAGUUCCAACUAAAUCUUUCAGAGGGGUCAACUUUCCUAAGAUAUUUAGGAGUAAAGUUAUCUUUCUUCGUUUCUAGGAUGCCCAUAAAGUCGAGGGAGUGGUCUCUAAUGAUAUCAGAGAAGCAGGUAGUCCUCCCUCUUUUUCCUGCCCCUCUGCAAUUCCAAAAUAGACCGUUCAUUUUUUCUUUUUUCUCCCUUUUUUGCUGAAAGCGCUACUAGGAGGCUGAGUAGAGCUUCCAGCAUCAUUCCUCAAGGUUACCCCAUUCUUUUGACUCCUGGUGACCGGUCUAGCUAUAAUCACAUUAGGUUUCCUCUCCCUCUUCUUUCUAGACCGCACCACUAUAAAAUUUUCCUCAUCCACCUCAUUCUCCUCUUCCCAUCUCAUAUUUAGAGGUGUCUGAUCCCCUUUCCCGUUAGUAAGAGUCAUUUUACUACUAACAGCAUCAUGCUUAUCAGCAUUGUCUACGUUUUUUUCCAUGUUUCUACAAUUCUCAAGCUCUCGGAGGAUAUCCACACUAGUAAAAUCAUUGUCAGGAAUAUUAAUACCCAGUUUAACAGCUCUGAGCAUAAGUUCAGGAUCAGACAAGACAUCAAAAGAGUUAGGGUUGUGUGAUAUACCUUCCAGAUCUCGUUUUUUAGCUACUUCUAUAGCUCUUUCAUUCACCCUCUCCAUCUUGUUCUGGGCAUUGUGCAGGCUGAAGCGGAGAUUUUCUUCAGUAACCAGCGGAGGAUCAGCCAACACUUCGUUCUCCAUCUCACCCUCGGGCGAUUCAACUCUGUAUUCAUUAGUGAUUAUCGCACCAUCACAGCAAGUAGCAACACCACCCACCUGCUGAGAUUUUUUAACAACAUGAGAGUAAGAUUUUUUAGGCAGGUUUUUACUACUAUCUGCAGGAAUCUCAACAUUAGGUCUUACUUUUUCCUGAGCCAUCUCAAAGGCCAUGGUGUCAAUGAGGAGGGUGUUGUGUAGCGAGUCAUCCGAAUCAGUACUCUCUUGAGACUCCUGAAUUGGGUCUGAUUUAUCUCCAUGGGGAAUGUAGGGAGAUUUCCCUCCAAGCCCAUGUGAUAUGUCAGCUUUUUGAGCUCCAGGAGUCAUAGAGGGAACAUUUCUUCUUUCAGUACUGUUCGCAUCAGGAUUAGUAGGGGCUUGUAUCUUCUCCUUCUCCCUUAUUGGGUCUCUCACUAGAAUCUGGUCCAUCUCAUAGUAAAAGUUAUAGAAAUGAUCUCCCAGUACAGCUUCAGCUACAACAGGAAUCUCAUCAACAUUUCUACAUCCUAUCCUCACCCGGGCAGAGGCCGGGCGGUGUAGGGUAGCUGCAUCGAUUUCCAGAGGGACCCCGACUAGAGAAGCCACAUAUGCCAGAUUCCUUUCACUUCUUUUAUCAAGAGGAACAUUGCUCACUUUAAUCCAUGCCAUUUCCAUCACCCCCUUAGCCCCAAUUGUAGAGGACCAGCGCGUGGCAUGGAUCACUGCCCCACUGGUUUUAAGGGCGACUUUUCCAACAUAGCAAAUCUGUGCAACUGCCCGAGGAUUAGGGAAACGAACAACAAACACCCCCGGUCCUAUUGCAUGAGCAGAGCAUCUCCAUCUAGUAGCAAGAUAAGCAUUUAAAUCUAGUUCCAUUUGACGGGUAGAGGUUUCCCCUUCCACUAUGGUGACAACAAUGUUGUUGGCUCUCUCCUUAAUCUGACUAGCAGUACAAGAGUCAUGAAUGUAGUAAAACCCCUGCCCUUUAGAUUGAAAUGCGCACAUGGGUGCCAUACACUCCCAAGGAAGAAAUUCCACACAUACAGAUGCCAGAUGGCCUAGCUUACUACAUCUCUCACAAUAAGCCUGAGGGCAUCGAGUAGGUGGAUGAUCAUGAGACUUGCAAAUAGGACAUGCAUCAAGUUUCUUAGGGGGAGGUAUCUGAGUAGGGUUUCUUCUUCCCUGAAUCUGCCGAGGGGAAGACGCAGCCUGGCGUCCAGCAGUGGUAUCACCUGAGCCCGAUGAAGUCUGGGUCUUCUGCACCCAGAUCCCACCCUCCUGGGACUCAUUGCGGCCAGCACCCGCCGCCUCAUCCCAGCGCGAGGUGUCUCCCGACCCCGGCUGGAUCAUGGCGGAGGUGUUGUUGGAGUUGUUGUGUUGUUGGAGUGGUUGCCUCCAUCUUCGCGGCGCCAUGAGAACUUGUUGCGGUCCCCUCCGCGGCCGUUGCCGCGUCCGCCAUGGUGCCCUCCUCCGCGAUCCGAGCGGCCACCGCCGCCACCUCCGCGCCUCUCUCCCUGGAAUCCGCGUCCCGUAUCAUUCACCAUGGGCGGGGUGGCUGCGACCGCCGCGAACGAGCGAGGGUCACCCCCAACCUUUCCCUCCCACCACUCAAAUGUUUCCGGAUUUCUGGAUCUAGGGUUCUUGGCCGCCGCCCAGAAGUGGGAGAAGGAGAUCUUUAGGUCAAGGAUCGGGUGGGGAGGGGAUUUUAUACCAGCGCUGUCGCCCGCGGGGGUGGGGUGGAUAGCCCCCACGUGUCGCACAUCCGCCAUUGACGGGUGGUUGGUGGGGUUUGGGUGCGCCCCGGUUCGGCUCGGUCCUGUUGCGCGCAGGUCCGCCCGGCUCCCGUGUACCGCAGCAUCACGUCCCGUACCGCCCAGCACCUCCGGCGCGGUGGUCGUCGGCAGGAUUCGGUCCCGCACCUUGGCGAAGUGACAGGGGAAGGAAACCACGUCACCGAUGUCGACCCCUUCCCCCUCACGGAGGAAGCGCGCGUCAACCGUGACACCACGCGUAUCCAUGAGGACAAGGCGGAGCGCAUCGUGUCGCUGAACAAGCACGCCAUCAUUGAAGAAGAUCGUGCGCGCUAGAAGGUCGGCGGCGUACGAGACUCGCCAACGUGUGUCGGGCUCGCCGCCAUUCCCUCCGCUCGUGCUCGCCAUGAUCCAGUUGUCGCGUGCCUGACCCGUGGCCCGUGCCUCUUUAGAUAGUCUUUUCAACAGCGACAUACACACAGUUUUCCUUGGGAAACCACUCGACCAAUAGUAGAAGGUAUAGCUAAACGAGUGAUUCCUUCUCAACACAGGAAAUUUAUCAGGGAAAAGGAGAGCCGUUGUAGAUGCUCUUAGUAAUAAGUUUCAUCGCCCCCAACAAGCUCCGUGGGUGUUUUCUUCUCUUUCAACAAGGCUCAGUGGUGGAUUGAGGUUUAGGGUCAAAAUCUGAACAAAUCUCACAAAGGUUUCAGCAUACUAUCAGUACUAACUAGCAAGAGUAGGUUUUAUUAGUUUAUAAGAUCGGAUUCCCAAUUCUCACACGACUUCAAACUGAAUCCACGCAUUUUAAACCUGUAGAAGUGCAUGCUCUAGCCAAUGCAACCAAAAGACCGAUCUGAUGGAAGAGACUAGGCAGCACAUUAUACGUCAACACUCCCCCUCACGUGUGGCUCCCUCAGGCCUAAACGUGGACCGAAAGUGGGCUGCAAUUUUAAUUGCGCCAGCCAGGUCUUGAACUCGAGACCUCUUGGCUCUGAUACCAUGUAGAAGUGCAUGCUCUAGCCAAUGCAACCAAAAGACCGAUCUGAUGGAAGAGACUAGGCAGCACAUUAUACGUCAACAAAACCUAUUUAAAAAGCUUUCGGCUAGAUUUUACUCCCUCUGUCCCAUAAUAUAACGGGACGGAGGGAGUAGUUGGCAUUCCAACAUACAUAACUGUUGACGUAUAAAUGUGUAGUCUUCUCUUUCAUCAGAUCGGUCUUUUGUUGCAUUGGAUAGAGCAUGCACUUGUAGAUUUUAGGAGCCAGGUAAUAGUUAAUAAUCACCAGAAGAAAGCAGAACUGCAGAAACAAAUAGGGUUACAGGUAUCAGUAAUCCAAAUCCAAAGUUUGAAAAGAACUGAAAUUUCUUCGUCAGACCCAACAUCAGUAAUAGAGUGAUACAAGGAUCACAGAAUAACAGAACUACUGUACCAGGGAUCAUCAUGGGUUUGCAUCUUUUAUUGGUCAGACGAGGAUCCACCCGUUCGUAUGAUUCAUCUGAAUAGUUAGUUAUUUUCUCUACGAGCAAGUACUACGGCUAUUUUCUCAUACUCAAAAACUGCACAGUCGGUAUAGUGGAGAUAUUAAGCAUGAUUGUCGCCCUAACAAGUAACACUACCUGAGAUUGAGACCGAAACCAGUAUGAUACAACUUGUUAAUUACUACUCCCUUUGUUUAAACUGCCAAAACGUCUUGCAUUUGUGAAAAGAGGGGGAGUACCUCCCUUCCAAAAUAAAACAAGUUCUGGGUUGGUACUCCCUCCCAAAAUAAAACAAGUUCUGGGUUGGUACUCCCUCCCAAAAUAAAACAAGUUCUGGGUUUGUUCCAAGUCAAUCUUGAAAUGGAAACAGUGCUUAUUUCCUCAUCAUGCGGUAAAGAACAUUAAAAAGAUGGGCAGCAACAACGGCAAUUGAUAGAAUGGUAGAAGGAUCAUAUAGAUCUACCAACAUUAUUGAACUAUAGUUCCAGAUGAAUAUAACAACACUCUCCAGCCAAAAUUAUGAUACGAACAAUCUGCGGGGCAGAAAGGAAAAAUGAAACUGAUACAGAUUACCGGUUCAAGAAAUUAGGAAAAUUGCUAACACAACACAUGGAUGAGAUAAGUAAAUAGAUGCUCUUCUUGACAAGCUAA